UUUUCUUUUUUUUCUUUUCUUUCUUUUUUUCUUUCUCUUUUUUUCUUUCUCUUUCUUUUUUUCUAUUCUUUCUCUCUUUCCCUUCUUUUCUUUCUUUCUUUCUUUUGUUUCCUCACAUGGGACAAUGUUCUAGAAAGGAAGAUCAUCAUACUUCUAUUUACUUACAACUCAAAAAUUACAACUCGGUCCUAGAACAAGAUAUGACUCUAUAUGAAUGCCUCCAGCGGUGUACCAGGAUGUGCAAUGAAUCAAGAUUGAAAUGUAUAAAAAAUGAUGAACGGUGGCCUGACACAAAUACAAUGUCAAUUACAUGAUCAUGCAAAGCAAUAUGACAAUCAUGAUGCAUGUCAUAAUAAAGGGAACGGUGGAAAGUUGCAUCGCAAUAUAUCUCGGAAUGGCUAUGGAAAUGCCAUAAUAGGUAGGUAUGGAGGCUGUUUUGAGGAAGUUAUUUAUGGCACCGGCAAAAGUUGAGCGGUACAACGAAGGGUAAAAAUGGCGAAAAUGAGAGAGUGCAUAUAAUCCAUGGACUCAACAUUAGUCAUAAAGAAAUCACAUACUUAUUGAAAAAAAAUACUAGUCAUCAAAACAAAGUACUACACACAUGGUUAUAGGGGGAUAGAUUGGUAGGAAAAUACCAUCGCUCGUCCCCGACUGCCACUCAUAACAAAGACAAUCAAAAAAUAUCUCAUGCUCCAACUUCAAUACAUAAUGGUUCACCAUAUGUGCAUGCUACGGGACUCACAAACCUUAACACAAGUAUUUGUCAAAUUCACAACUACUCACUAGCAUGACUCUAACAUCACCAUCUUCAUAUCUCAAAACAAUCAUAAGGAAUCAAACUUCUUAUAGUAUUCAAUGCACUUUAUAUGAAAGUUUUUAUUAUAUCCCUCUUGGAUGCAUAUCAUACUAGGACUAAUUUUAUAACCAAAGGAAAUUACCAUGCUGUUUUUAAAGACUCUCAAAAUAAUAUAAGUGAAUCAUGAAAGUUCAACAAUUUCUAUAAAAUAAAACCACCGCCGUGCUCUAAAAAGAUAUAAGUGAAGCACUAGAGCAAAAUUGCCUAGCUCAAAAGAUAUAAGUGAAGCACAAAGAGUAUUCUAAUAAUUCACGAUUCAUGUGUGUCUCUCUUAAAAGGUGUGUAUAGAAAGGAUGAUUGUGGCAAACUAAAAAGCAAAGACUCAAAUCAUACAAGAUGCUCCAAGCAAAACACAUAUCAUGUCGUGAAUAAAAAUAUAGCCUCAAGUAAAGUUAGCGAUAGACGAAGACGAAAGAGGGCAUGCCUUCUGGGGCAUCCCCAAGCUUAGGCUCUUGGUUGUCCUUGAAUAUUAGCUUGGAGUGCCUUGGACAUCCCCAAGCAUAGGCUCUCGCCACUCCUUAUUCCAUAGUCCAUCAAAUCCUUUCCCAAAGCUUGAAAACUUCACAACACAAAACUCAACAGAAAAUCUCAUAAGCACUGUUAAUAUAAGAAAAUAAAUCACCACAUUUGGUACUAUUGUGAACUCAUUCUUUAUUUAUAUUGGUGUAAGAUCUACUUUAUUCCAACUUUUCCAUGGUUCAUACCCCCGAUACGAGCCAUAGAUUCAUCAACAUAAGCGAACAACACAUAGAAAACAGAAUCUGUCAAAAACAGAAAACAGUCUUUAGCAACUUGUAACUAUCGAAUACUUAUGUAACUCCAAAAAUUCUACAAAAUUAGGACAACCUGAGAAAUUUGUGUAAAAUCCAGGGCAAAAAGAAUCAUAUCAAAAUCACGCUUCUAUGAAUUAUUAAAAUUAUUUUCUUGGGUGCAAAAGUUUCUGUUUCUCAGCAGGAUCAAAACAACUCUCACCGUAAGCUAUCCCAAAGGUCUUACUUGGCACAAACACUAAUUAAAACACAAAACCACUUCUAACUAGAGGCUAGAUGAAAUAUUUAUUGCAAAACAGAACCUAAAAAGCAAAAACAAAAAAAUAAUUGCGUUGCCUCCCAAGAAGCGCUAUUUUUUAACGCCCUUAGCUAGGCAUAAAACACGAAUAGAUCUAAGUAUUAUCAUCUUUGGCAUGCACCUCUUUCCUCAUCAAACCCUCCAAAACUCAUCUUAGCAACUAUCCUUUCCUUUAUUUACCUCCUAGUAGAUGAACUCAAAUCAUGAAAAGGACUUUGAUUGGUAAUUUUAACAUUCAUAAACCCAUAGCCGGGAUCAUCACCGUAUAUAUCAUCAUACAAAAUACGUAGCUCAUUUCUGAUGGGUUUGUUCAUCAUUUUAUUCAGCCAAUCCCUAUUAAAUCCUACAUAAAUUCCCCUAGUAAUCCAAUCUAACUCCUCAAAAGCCUCAAGAUACAAAGAUUGGGAGAUUGUUGAAUGGGGAACUCUCCUCCUAAUAUUUUCACUAUAAGGUUGAUACUCUAGACUCCAAACUAUGCAUGGUUUCUUUCUCAUGGAGGAUAUCUAUAAUUGGAGGGUGUUCAACAUCCUUUUCAUAGAAAGCAAAAAUAUCCCUAGCUUCUUGUAUUAUAAAAUCAAAAUCACGCAUAAGGAUAAUAGUGGCUAUCUUUUUAGCUAUUGGAUGAUUAAUAUUGGGAAGUUCAUAAAACACUUUUUGCAAAGCAGGAUGGAGAUGCACAAAUUCUCUUUUCUCAACAAGCAUAACAAUAGCAUCUGCAUAACAAUUUGUUCAAGAAGAAUAGAUCUCCUAUUAAUAGGCAUGGAUCCCGUACAAUUAAAGAAUUCUUGAAUGACACUCUUUCAAAUAAUAUUACCGUCGCCCACACGAAUUUUUUUGGUUUUGUAAUUAGGAGGUUUUUCAGUUUCAUGAUCCAAACAAUAAGAUUCAACUUUAUCCUCAAGAUCUUCAACCAUAACCUCCCCAGUUUCAGACAUGGUGGCUGCAAACAGAUCUAGCAAACAAGCAACCAAAAGGAAAACGAAGAAGACGAACGGAGGAGGGGUGAAGAAAACGCGAAUAUUUUCGAAAAUCGUUUUAGAAGUGGGGGAGAGGAAAACGAGAGGCGAAUGGUGAAUAAUGUAAUGCAAGGGAUGAGAGUUUAUGAUGGGUACUUGGUAUGUGUUGACUUGACAUAGAUCUCCCCGGCAAUGGCGCCAGAAAUUCUUCCUGCUACCUCUUGAGGUUGCGUUGGUUUUUCCGUUGAAGAGGAAAGGGUGAUGCAGCAAAGUAGAGUAAGUAUUUCCCUCAGUUUUGAGAAUCAAGGUAUCAAUCAUGUAGGAGCCAACGUAGAAGUCACUGAAUACCUGCACAAACAAACACAACUUGCACCCAAUGCGACAAAGGGGUUAUCAAUCCCUUCACAGUUAUUUGCAAAGUGAGACUUGAUAGAGAUGGAUAAACGGUAAAGUAAUAUUUUUGGUAUUUUUUGGUUUAUAGAACGCAAAGUAAAAGAUUUCAAAGGAAGUAAAUAGGAAACUAAAAUUGUAGAUCGGAAACUUCUAUGAUGGAAAGUAGACCCGGGGGCCAUAGGUUUCACUAGAGGCGUCUCUCAAGAUAGAAAAUAUUAAGGUGGGUGAACAAAUUACUGACGAGCAAUUGAUAGAAAAGCACAAAGUUAUGACGAUAUCUAAGGCAAUGAUCAUGAAUAUAGGCAUCACGUCCGUAUCAAGUAGAUCGACUCUUGCCAGCAUCUACUACUAUUACUCCACAUAUCGACCGAGUCCUGCCUGCAUCUGGAGUAUUAAGUUCAUGAAGAACAAAGUAACACAUUAAGUAAGAUGACAUGAUGUAGCGGGAUAAACUCAAGCAAUAUGAUGAAAACCCCAUCUUGUUAUCCUCGACUGUAAUAGUACAAUACGUGCCUUGCUGCCCCUGCUGUCACUUGGAAUGAAAACCACAAUAUUGAACCCAAAGAUAAGCACUUCUCCCAUUGCAAGAAAAACCAAUCUAGUUGGCCAAACUAAAUCGAUAGUUCGAAGAGACUUGCAAAGAUAUCAAAUCAUGCAUAUAAGAAUUCAGAGAAGAACCAAAUAAUAUUCGUAGACAAGCUGAUCAUAAAUCCACAAUUCAUCGGAUCUCGGCAAACACACUGCAAAAAAAGUAUUACAUCGAAUAGAUCUCCAAGAACAUCGAGGAGAACAUGGUAUUGAGAAUAAAAAAGAGAGAAGAUGCCAUCUAGCUACUAGCUAUGGACCCGUAGGUCUAUAGUAAACUACUCACGCUUCAUCGGAAGGGCAAUGGUGUUGAUGUAGAAGCCCUCCAUGAUCGAAUCCCCCUCCAGAAGGAUGCUGGAAAGGCCCCUAGAUGGGAUCUCACAGGUACAGAAGGUUGCGAUGGUGGGAAAAUGUUUUCAUGGCUCCCCUGGUAGGUUUUGGGGUAUAUGUGUAGCGACCCGACCCGAAUGGAUCAAGUCUCUAUGCUUAAGUGUCAUCCCUGGAUCGGUAUGCUGGCACAUAGAGUACUUGAGGAUUUAUAACAGAGGUAAAUCACAUGUAUAAAGUAACGUCAAUACUACUACCUCAAUCCAAAUAGCGGAAGUAACAAUGUUGUGGAUUCCCAUCAACACCAACGACAAAGUUGAGUGUAGAAAUCGUAACCCUAACAUAUCACUUACUCGUCAUAAUAUUCCUACAACAUGAGACGUUGCAGCCACAAAGGGUCAGUACAUUGAAUGUACUAGCAAAUUCACACCAUAGGAUAAAUGAUGAACAAUAGCUAUCACUACAUGCAUAUUUGGCUGGUGGAAAGCUCUAAGUUUAUAAUGUUUUUGCGAAAAGCCAGUUUUUCCCUACUGUAAUGGAAUAUAUUUUAUUUAACAACAAAGUUCGUUGAAAACAUUGAGAAUGGUAAACCCCAUCUCAAUCCCAAUUAAAAGUAAUCAUUAAACCCAACAAAAUUAACUUAUAGUAACAUGAUGAGAUUCACAUGAUAAUCCAGGUACUAGAUACUCAAGACGUCCAUAACCGGGGACACGGCUAACCAUUAUUAGUUUAUACACUCUUCAGAGGUUUGCGCACUUUUCCCCACAAGACUUGAUCGCCUCAGCUGUAUUUUUCGCACUACAAGGUGUUUGACAAAUGGAUGACCGAGACACAGUCUUUCAGAAGCAUUAACUCUAUACUCUGGGUAGACAGUGCCACCUACAACCCACUACAUCUGCUAGUCUACCUCUUCAAGAGCUCACGCAACUUAAUCAACUAUGCUAGGGCCCAUAAUAGCUUGUGGCUGCACACGGAAGUUUCUAGCAUGAAUAAUCUUAUGAUCCCUUUGAGCCUGGGUGGCAGUCCAUAGGAAAACCUCACGGAACCCCAGGAUUUCCAAAAAAACAGGCAACACUGGAUUCCCCAGGUGCCUAAAUCCACCCAGAUGUGUAAUAAAGUUGCCACCUUAAGUUGAACCAUUAAUUAACAAUCUCACAUCUGUCAUGGAUACACUCAAACCCAAUCCACGUCUACGAGCAUAGCAUAGCAAUAUAAGCAUAACGUUGAAGUAACUCCAAGGUUUUGGUAAUAAAUUGGGCAAUAGGUUCUACCUCAUCAACUACUUCCCAAAACCCACAUGUUAAUCACAUCCUACUCAUGCAAUGUUUGAGGGUGAGACUAACGCAUAAAAACUGGGUAUGAAAUGGAUAUGAUCAAAGUGUGAAUUGAUGAAGAUGAUUCGCACUCAACUCCUGAUAGUUCUAUUCGUAUCUCUCCAUUCAAUCUAUUGUAAGCAAGCAAUAGUAACCACACAUAAGCAAUCACUCAAAAGGUCGGAAAGAACGAAAACACAGUUCGGAAAACUCCAAAACCAAGAAAAUAACUCUUGCAAUAGAAAAAAAUUCUAACAAUAACAAGAUUAAGGGAAUUUGCCCUUAUCGGAAAGUUUAGGUCAAGAGCUUCGAUUUGCAAAAAGAAUCAACUCAAACGGAAUUAUAAAACUCGAGUUACGAUCAAACGAAGUUCAAAUACAAAUUUGUUUGAAUUCAAAUUUUAAAACUUUCAAAAACAUAUUUAAGUUGAUUAUUUGGAUAGAGGGGAUCAUAACGAAGAAGUGGGCGUUGGUUUCGUUGGAUUUGGACCAACGGUGCAAAAGUUAUGAGUGUUUGAAAAACAGGGAUUAAUCUGUAAGAAAAGAAUUCACAGAUAGGUCCCUGGCCACAAAAACAAAACUAAUAUAUGAACGUUCGCUUCUGAGGCUUAUAUAGCGAAAACGUCCACUGCCAACACUAAACGAACGAACGUCCAUUAGCUAAACAUACCGGUUUAAAAAUAAAAAACGAAACCUAGAUCUAAUACGGACCAUCGAACCUAGAUCCAACGGACGAGGUGGCUCCGGUGACUUACUGCAGCGGCGGACGGCGUCGGCGGCGAGGAAAUCGGCGGCGUUGACUUGGGUGUGGGCGGUGCGGCGGCUCCGAGGCUCGGCGACUCCGGCGGAGCGGUCGGGGAGGGGCGGCUUGCCGCGGCGCUGACGUGGGUGUAGUCGACGGGGCGAAGCGGGCGGCGGCGGCGAGAUGCGGCAGAGGGCGGCGUGAAGCAAGGAGAGAGAGGGGUCCGGGGCGUCGGGAUUUAUAGGAGGGAGGGGCGAGGUGGCAUGGAGGAGGUGCAAGGGGAUGCCGGGGCGGACACGGCGGCGGCCGGCGUCGUGCGGCAGCGGGUUUCCAAGCAGAGCUCGAGGACGAGCGGGCGAGGGCGUGGGCCAGCUGGGCCGUGGCCUGGCUGGCUGACUGGGCCGGCCCGGUCCGGUCGGUCGAAGAGUUCUUUUUUAAAAACAAAACACAGACAGAGAACAAAAGAAAAACAAAAGAAAUAAAAUAUAUUAUAUAGGCAUAUAAUAUACCAAAAUUUUCAGAAAAUUAUUUCCUACAAGAUGAACAUUAUUCUAGCUUCAAUUAAAAUACACAGAAAUUCAAAUAAAGCAAGGAGUGCUACUGGUGCAAUAAAAUCCAAUCAAAAUCAUUUUUAAAAAAAUAUCAAAAUGAUUUCAAAUUUAUUUCUCUCCAUUUUUCUGUUGUAGGGAAUCAUUUUACCCUAAUUUCCAUAUAUGUUAUUUUUGGAGAAAAAUAAUUUGAAUAAACCCCAAAUAAGUCCAAAUUGAAAAUAAUUUUCAGAUGGGACUUUAAAUUGGAUUCUUUUAAACUCCCAACUCAUAUUUCAUAUGUUUUGAAGAAGUCAUUUUAUCUUCUCUCAUGAAAAUCAUUGAGUUGCUUGAAGUUUCUAAAAUUGAAAAUAUUUCCAAAUGAAAUUAAAAUCUUUUCAAAAACCCUGUUUCAUUUAUUUAAAUGGAAGAAGUCAUAUCAUCUUCUCUCUAGGGUUUUGUGUUGAAAUGAAUUUGAAUUCAUGGAGAUCAUAAAAGCAAGAUGAAAGUUUGGGAAAGUCCUUUUAUUCCCUCUCAUUUAACUUUCAAAAGUUUCAAAAUUCACUCAACUUCACACAAUCAAUCAAACAAUCAAUCAAUCUAUUUAUUUAUUAUAACAUCCCAAAAUUUAGAAUUUUGGGAUGUUACAAUAUGAGAAUAUAUAGGCAGAAGAAAUAGGUCGGUGGAGUCACGAGGGGUCCACAAGGGUGGGGGGCAUGCCCUACCCCCCUGGGUGCAUCCUCCGUCCUUGUGGCCGCCUCGUGGCUUCUCUGACUUGCACUCCAAGUCCUCUGGGUGUCUUUUGGUCCAAGAAAAAUUAUUGCGAAAGUUUUAUUCCGUUUGGACUCCGUUUGGUAUUCCUUUUCUGCGAAACUCAAAAACAAGGAAACAACAAAAACUGGCACUGGCUCUAGGUUAAUAGGUUAGUCCCAAAAAUAACAUUAAAUAGCAUAUUAAUGCAUAUAAAACAUGCAAAACAGAUAAUAUAAUAGCAUGGAACAAUUAAAAAUUAUAGAUACAUUGGAGACGUAUCAGGGUGCGGUUUGCCGAUAGUCGGUUUGCUCAACUGCGGUCCCACAUGAAAGUGAAAAUGCUAGGCAACAUGCCUUCCCUAGCUAUGUUGCAUGCCGGACGGGCCGUGGAGUACUCCCGAUUCCCGGGCGUGUGGGGGUGCGACGCGAACGUGGCAUGCCUUUUCCUUUUACUAGCAAUGUGCCCGUGCGUUGCGAAAGAUCCAAACUAGAAUAGUACUUGUUCACAAACUUGAAAGAAAACACUCUUGUUUUGAUAUACAUAUAUACAACUAAAACUAUAUUACUUUUCACUCAAAAUAUAAUUCCCAGGCUGUUUUGAUGAGAUGAGGGAGGGAUGUGGUUGCUUUCAAGAUAAUAAGGGGUUUUCUGCAAAUUGGAGCAGAGAAGUGGGCUAUUUUUGCAAAAAUGCCACAACUUACCUCACAACCGUUAGAUGCAGAUCUAAUGGUCAGAAAUGAUGGAUGACAGACACACCACCAUCACCAACUGAGUCUUUUAUAGGAGUAGAGAAACAUGUAUAAAUUGUAACAUUUGGUUCUGCUCCUUGGCAUGAUCAAUAGAUAGAAAUAACGAUUGGAAACGCUAGGGCGAGGCUUUUUCCGCCAGAUAAGCAGGGUAGUAGCUAGGUUGGCGCGUCGCCGGUUUGGUCACAUGCAGUCUGACAUGUUGUAGUGAUACUAGCAAGAUGCCUGUGUGUUGCACGAAGUUUAUGGAAAAGGUAAGCACAACUUAUAAAUUGACGGAUGGAGUACUAGUUACAGUGAUGCAUAUAAUUGCCUCCAACUAUGAGCAAAGGGAUCGCACACGUUUGUAUUGACUGGGACAAGAAUGCAAUAGCACAAUAAGAAUAAAGGCCACGAUGAUGCGAUCGCAGUGGUGGUUAUAGGAGGCAAGAAGAAAGAUGCAUCCAUCAACGUACGACCUCCUCCUGCUCGACUCAUUGCGCCGGGCCACCGACCAGCGACUUAGGUGUGGUGGAUUUUGUCGCAAGGUCAAGGUGCUUCUCAACAAAGGCGUCCAAUGCUUCCAGAUGGUUGACGAAGGCCAACAUCGUAGCGUCCUCACCGGACUUGUAGAUGCAAAUGUACACGACUUCCUCAUACACGUGGAUGUGUAGGUCGACGAAUUCUUGUAGGGCGAGGCACCUUGCCUUCGAGCACGGCCUCCAGGUGGAUAUUCUUUGUUGCGUCGGUGGGAAGUCGCAGGGCCACCAAUGCUUGAAAGAGGUUCUCACCAUGGAGGCCGAUUAGGGUGGCACGCAAUGAGUAGCUCGGGCGCGCGGGCUGGAGGAGUACAACAAUGUCAUCCGCGAGCUUCUUGAUGACGGUGAACUUGUUGAUGGUGGCAAGAAUCAUCUGGUCCAACUAAGAGUCGUACCUAGCAUCGACAAUGGCCAUGAACUAGCCGGUCGCCAACACCGUUUGGAGACGAUCCUCAUGCCAUGCCGCAGGCCAGCAUCAUGGACCAUCUGGCACAGCCGCUGGCCAUUUGUGUGCAUCGCUGCCAUGGGUCCAGAGUGAGCACUUUUGCGCUUAGUGUAGGUGCUUAGGUGCGUACGAUGUGGUAGAUGCAUUGGAAUGGAGGGGCGCCUUUAUAUGAGUGCAAACUGCGUUUCAUUCGCAUCGUGCUGCCUCUUUUCCCCAUCCUUCUCACAUUACUUCCCUCAUGCAUUCAACAUGCUAAUUGAAGGAGGAUGCAUCAUUGGUCGUUCAGCAUUUCAGGAAACUCUACCCUCUCCCUCGUCUGCAUUAAAGCCGUGUCGGGAACUAUCCUGAUUUACUAGUAGCUAUCAAAUCGAAUAGUACUGCACCGUCCGCUACACGCCCGGGUAAACGCGCCUCCUCGCCACCAUCAAAUGCUUCCGUUAAACCCACAUGCAAACUGAGAAACCUACUCUGUCCACACGUCCGUUCAUGAGCGGGCCGGAAUUAAACGCAACGCCGGCUGAGUUCCUCCCGUCCGCCCUUAGUUUAAACAAGGCUAGACGCCGGCCAAGCUCCUAUCCUCCGCCCUCUAUUUAAACGAGGCCAAACAGCGGGCAAGAAUCGCACCCCUCCGCCGCUCCCCCAUUUCCUCCUUUACCAUUUUCACCACUCUUCCGAUGGCUUCCGAGGAGCCGUUCUCCGGCACCCUCCGGAUACGAGCGAGGCCGCUCGGUGCUUCACCUACCUCGCCUGGCCCGACAGAGCCAGUUGCCACCCCAAGCCGGCGUUUGGUUCAGCAACUCACCGCUCUAGUUAAGCUAGAUGAGGAGUGGCGAGUUGCUCCAUGCCGGCACGGCGGCGAGCAUGAUGGCACGGGCGUCGUCGCUGCCGCGCCACCAGUGGAUGUGCCUCCCAUGUCAGCGGUGGACGCGCCUCUUGUCUGUGGGCGAGCCUCCCGUGCCUGCGGUAGCGCCAUGCGGGCAGAGAAAGAAGCCAGGUGCAUGGAGAGCGAUGAGUCGGUGGCCAUCUUCUCCUUAUCCGCUGCCAACAUCUAGGAGAAGUAGAACAUGGGAGGCCACUGCCACUUGGGUCCCAUGAAGGCUACCACCGAGGCGACGACUGCGUAUAUAGGUGGUCUCUUGGCUGCUUUGUCUGUUGCAAUGACAUUCAUUGACCACGCAAGUGUCUGCCGGACAUGAGGAAGACAAGGGGAUCCAUGGGAGGCCAUUUAGAUUAGGUGUUAAUUAUACCACGAGAGUCGGAUUAGCACCGCUUCAUUCAUGUAAAUGUAAUGAAAUCUGCCGUGGUUAUAUGAAGAUCCGACUUUUUUAUACGAAAUCCUUCAUGCUUAUAUGAAAUCAGUCGGUGUUUGCACGAAUUUCCUAUGGUUGGUUAGAGUUGUGAAAAUGUAUGCCACUGGCGUUGGAUGUCGUCCUCCGCGGAAGGAAGCAGGAGGAAAUUUGCCAGUUGCCUUCCAUUUGAGUUAAUUGCAUGUAUGAUUCUCCCUCUAUAAAAAGUUAAUUGCAUCCUUAAUCUUGUAUUCUAAGUACUCUGUGGGUUCCACUGUCAGUACAAUGUACAUGACUUGCAGGCUGGCUAUAGAUUCGCACAGAAAGUUAAAAAGAAAAAAAUCCAUCCUUAAUCUUAUAUUCUAAGUACUCUAUGGGUUCCACUGUCAGUACAAUAGCGAAAGAAGUAUAUUUUAGAAAAUAUAAAAAACUAAAGUUUAGGAUAGAAUUCGAACUUAGGUCAUCACAUUGUGAGCAUCCGACCCGGACCAGUACACUAGAUGUUCGUUGUGGACGAUGCAAGAGAUAUAUCUCUAUAGCAAUGUGCCCAUCCGUUGCAACCGAUCCAAAGUAGAAUAAUACAUAUUCACAAAUUUGAAAGAAAACAAUUUAGUUUUGAUAUACAUAUCACUAAAAAUAUCUUAUGUUUCACUCCAAAUAUAUUCUUUGGGAUGUUUUGAUGAGGUAAGGGAGGAAUGUGGUGGGUUUCAAGAUACUAAGGGGUUUUGUGUAAACUGGAGCAGAGAAGUGGGAAUUGUUGCAAAAAGGCCGCCACAACUUACAUCACAGCCAUUAGAUGCAGAUCUAAUGGUCAGAAAUGGUGGAUGGCAGACACACCAUCAUCACCAACUAAGUCUUUUAUAGGAGUAGAGAUAUCUAUAUCUAUCUAUAUCUAUCUCUACUCUUAUAAAAACAGAGUUGGUGAUGAUGGUGUGCCUGCCAUCCUGCAAUAUAGGCCGUCCAAUUUAUAUCUGAUGGAUAGGAAGGAAACUAUGGCAAUUUGGCAAAAAUAUACCCACACCCCUCUCCACAUUUGCAAUAAGGUCUUCCCUUGUUCAUCCUUUUCUCUCACAAGAUAAACAACUCAUACAAAUGCAUCUUGAUGUUCCGUGCAACGCACGGGCAUCUUGCUAGUAUACUCUUAUAAAAAAUAGAGGUGGUGAUGAUUGUGUGCCUCCCAUCCUACAAUAUAGGCCGUCUGAUUUAUAUCUGACGAGUAGGAAGGAAACUAUGGCAAUUUUGCCAAAAGAUACCUACACCUCUCUCCACAUUUGCAAAUAAGGCCUUCCACCGCUCAUCCUUUUCUCUCACAAGAUAAACUACUCAUACAAAUGCAUCUUGAUGUUCCGUGCAACGCAUGGGCAUCUUGCUAGUUUUUUUAAAUAGUUACUGCGAUAAUUGGGUUGAAGUGAUAUAUUUUAUGUCUGCCCCGAAUGAUCCCAAAUUCACUAGUAGUAACAAAGAAAAAGUUACCUUAUUAAUUAACAAAAUACAGGGUGAAAACUAUCAAAUGAGGUCGUUAAAAACAAGGCACAUUGAGUUCAGCAUCAUCGUCACUACAACUGUGUGUGCGCGAGAAUUCUACAUAUCGAGGGUGCAACGAGGAGAAAGAUGUAUCGAGUGUGUGUGAGCGAGUCAUAGAGACACAACUUGAGCACAUAUGUGUGUGUGUGUGUGUUUGAGAGAGAAACCAAUUGAUCGAUUAAGAUCAAGAUCGAGUUGUCACCCAUCUGCUGUCAUUGUUGGGGGGUAGGGAGGGGGAGUGAGAGAAAGACGUAUUGAGACUAUGCACGCGGUAGGCACAAAGGCACGAAUAGCGAGUGUGUGUGUGUGUGUGUUUGAGAGAGAAGCUAGUAUAUAGAUUAGUAUCAAGAUCGAGGUGUCACCCUACUCCUUCGGUGUCGAGAAGUGUGUGUGUGUGUGUGUGUGUGUGAGUGAGUGAAAUCUCAAAACAAAAGGUGCUAUGAUGGAAUCCCAUUGUACGUCUUCAUAUGGUCCCGGGACUCGAGUUAACCUUACACAUAUGUGCGCGAGACAUAGUUAUACAUUGAGACAUUAGUGGCGGUGGGUGGGAGGAAUUAAAGCGAUCGGCAUGUUCGAUAGAGAGAGCCUGUGUGUUUUUGUGCGAGAGACUUGUAGGAUGGGAUAGAAAGAUGAAUUUUAACCUUAACAGCGGGAGAGAAAUACACAAAGUGUGCGUGUGUGAUUCGGAUGCACACGGAGAAAUGAGAUGUGUAUGCAUGUGAGAGAGAUUGAACAAUUCAUUUACGUAUCACUAUCUAGCGAUCGUGGACGUGCAUCGUAUGAACAUAAAUCAAUAUCUACUUUGUAGCAUGGCCAAAUAUACAAUAUCGAUUCAACGCUAUAAAGAUUGGACACUCACAUAUCACAUUUUUUCCAAAUAGUACUUGUCAAUUGUGCAUGCCAAAGUUACAGUGACGUUUCCUCAAACUACCACUGUAGUUAUCAUGAACAUGCACCAUUAUUAGUUUUGCAUCCAAAUUCAUUAGUCUUGGAUGAUUUAGGUUCUAUUAUGAAGUAAUAUAUGUAAUAUUCAUAUAUGAAUUCAACUGGUAUGCAAUUUAUGAAAUGGAGGCCAUGUGAUCAUAUGAGGUAACACUUUUAAGUAGCGAACUACAAUAGUGCCUCUAUAUUUAAAUUAACACGUCAAUGCAUUAUGUUUAAAAUAAAUAAAAUGGCACUAAAUUAUAAAUUAACAUGAGAAAUACAUAGGCUGAGCAUUUGAUCCAUUUUUUGUGAACGCGCUUCUAUAGUCGUACGAUUGGCCGCUCCUGUGUGAACGUCCAAGUUAUCGGUGCAUCGUCCCGAGUUAUUUUUUUCUGGGGUGGACUUCAUACCAGUUAUUAAAUGCUGAUCUGUGCCCCGUGUACAUAGUCUCGCAUGACCUUCCCGCUAGCACUAUCCAAAAUUAGUUGAAACUGGAUACGAACGACCCUACGGGCGGCAAAAUCUCCUGCCUCCUUCUAAAAUUUCUACCACCUAGUCUUUAGCAUGCGAAAUUCCCCUUUUGUCCUUGGUGCACGGAGAACAAUAGUUACAAUAUGGCCCGGAUACGUCUCCAAUGUAUCUAUAAUUUAUGAAGUAUUCAUGCUGUUAUAUUAUCAUUCUUGGAUGUUUUACAAUCAUUUUAUAGCAACUUUAUAUAAUUUUUGGGGACUAACCUAUUGACCCAGUGCCCAGUGCCACUUGCUAUUUUUUGCUUGUUUUUUACAUCGCAGGAAAUCAAUAUCAAACGGAGUCCAAACACCGUGAAACUUUUUGUGGAUUUUUAUGGACCAGAAGACAUCCAAUGGGCCAGAGAAGCACAUGGGGGUGCCCCGAGGGGGCACAACCUACAAGGGCGCGCCCAGGUGGGUUUUGCCCACCUCGGUGGCCUCUCCCACCCCCUCUUUGCCCUAUAAAUCACUAAAUAUUCCAGAAACCCUCGGGUGAGAAGUUUCACCGCCACAAGCCUCUACAGCCAAGAGAAACCAAUCUAGACCAUGUUCCGGCACCCUGCCGGAGGGGGGAAUCAUCACGGUGGCCAUCUUCAUCAUCCCGGUGGCCACCAUGAUGAGGAGGGAGUAGUCCACCCUCGGGGCCGAGGGUUUGUACCAGUAGCUAUGUAUUUAAUCUCUCUCUCUCUCUCUCUCUAUAUAUAUAUAUAUAUAUAUAUACAUAUAUAUAUAUAUAUAUAUAUAUAUAUCGUGUUCUUGAGAUGUCAAGAUCUUGAUGUAUAGUGGGAUAUGUUAAUAUAGUCAGAUCAUAUGGUGUUUCCCCUCUCUAUGUUGUGAUGAAUUGAUUUUUCCCUUGAGAUUUCGUUUUAUCGGAUUGAAUACUUUUAUGGAUUUGAAAACACUUUUAUAUAUGUCUUGCUAUGAAUACCUGUGGAGACAGUGGGGUAUCGUAUUGAUUCACUUGAUAUAUGUUUUGGCACUCAAUUCACCAAAGGUGACAUUGGGGUAAUCUAUGCAUAGGGGUUGAUGCAUGUUCUUGUCUUUGUUUCUCUGGUAGAAAUCUUGGGGCACUCUUUGAGGUUCUUUGUGUUGGAUUGAGUAUUAUGAAUCUCAAAUUAUUUGGUGUUAUUUGAGUAUGAACUCUUGGAUAGAUCGAUCGGAAAGACAUGGUUUGCUCUUUAUCAUACUAACCUAUCUCACGAAGUUCCGUUAAGUUUUUUGUGAUUGAAGUUUUCAAGUUUUAAGGCAGCUUAUAUAUUAUGAGUAGGAAAACAUUUUUCAAACAAGUAAUAAAUCAUAUCCUCGGGACUACACACACAACCAAGAGCAAGAGUAUUAUACCAAGCCUUAGCAUCACCCUUUAGUGAGAAUGGAAAUUAUUUGAGAAUAUAAUAAUAGUGAAUCUUCUCAUCAUGUGCAAAAAAGGGUGGCUAUAUCAUUCAACUUAGUAAGAUGUGCCACAACAGUUUCAGUUUCAUAACCAUGGAAAGGAUCAGAUUCAACCAAAGUAAUUAACUUUGGGUCGAUAGAGAAUUCAUAAUCCUUAUCAUCAACAAAGAUAGGUGAAUUAGCAAACUGAGGAUCACAUUUUAGUUUAGCAUUCAAAGUCUUUUCUUUGUACUUGCAUAAUAUUUUUUCCAAAUCAUCUCUAUCCUUACAAGAAAGAAUGUCUCUAGUUGUCUCCUCAUCCAUAAUAUAACCUUCUGGCACCUUUGGCAAUUCAUAACUAGGAGAACUAGUUGUAAUAGGUGUUUCAAGAUUUCUAGUUUUAAGUUCUUCAUCAGUUUCCACAAUCUCAUUUUGUCUUACUCUAGCAAAUUGUUCAUCAAGAAAUUCACCUAGUGGCACAUUAUCAUCAAGUAAGAUACUGGCAUCAUCAUGAGUAGCAUUCAUAGCAGAAGUGGCAUCAUCAAUAACUUGCAACAUAUCAGGAUUUGUAACAUGUGGUGGUGUUGCAAGUCUACUUAUAACAGAAGGUGAAUCUAAAGUAGAGCUAGAUGGCAGUUCCUUACCUCCCCUCAUCUUAGAGGGAAAAAUCUUAGUCUUAGCAUCCUUCAGAUUCUUCAUAGUUAUAAUUUGGUAAUCAUCCCAAGUGAAUCCACAAAUAUAGCUAUGCUCCCCAGCAACGGCACUAGAAAAAGGUUGUGAUAACCCACAAGUAUAGGGGAUCGCAACAGUUUUUGAGGGUAGAGUAUUCAACCCAAAUUUAUUGAUUCGACACAAGGGGAGCCAAAGAAUAUUUGCAAGUAUUAGCAGCUGAUUGUCAAUUCAACCACACUUGGAGAUUAAUUAUCUACAGCAAAGUGAUCAAUAGCAAUGUAGUAUGGUAGUUUUGAUAGUAGUAGCAACAGCAAUAGUAACAAUAACAGUGAUAGCAAUGGUUUUGUAGCAAGUGCAAUAGUGACAGUAGCAGUAGUAACUUAGCAAGAACAAUAUGAGAGAAAUUCGUAGGCAUUGGAUCGGUGGAUUCGUUGGAUGAUAUUCAUCAUAUCACAGUCAUAACCUAGGGCGAUACGACACUAGCUCCAGUUCAUAAAUAUAAUGUAGGCAUGUAUUUCGUAAAUAGUCAUAUGUGCUUAUGGAAAGAACUUGCAUGACAUCUUUUGUCCUACCCUCCCGUGGCAGUGGGGUCCUAUCGGAAAAUAAGGGAUAUUAAGGCCUCCUUUUAAUCGGGAACUGGAACAAAGCAUUAGCACAUGCUUGAAUACAUGAACUCCUCAAACUACGGUCAUCAUCGGGAAGUGUCCCGACUUCUGUCACUCCGGGUUUGUCGGAUCAUAACACAUAGUAGGUGACUAUAACUUGCAAGAUGGGAUCUAGAACAUAGAUAUAAUGGUGAUAACAUAAAUGGUUCAGAUCUGAAAUCAAGGAACCCGGGCCCAAUGUGACAAGCAUUAAGCAUGGCAAAGUCAUAACAACAUCAAUCUCAGGACAUAAUGGAUACUAGGGAUCAAACCCUAACAAAACUAACUCGAUUACAUGAUGAAUCUCAUCCAACUCUUCACUGACCAGCAAACCUAUGAAGGAAUUACUCACUCUCGGUGGGGAGCAUCAUGGAAUUGGCGAUGGAGAAGGGUUGGUGAUGACGAAGAUCAAAAAUCCCCCUCUCUGGAGCCCCAAACGGACUCCAAUUCUGGAAUCCCGAUGAAGAACAGGAGGUGGCGGUGGCUCCGUCUCGUGAAACGCGAUAAUUCUUUCGCCCUGAUUUUUUUCUCCAAAUAUUUUAUUUUACAUUAUCAGGGUUGAAUUCUAUGGGUCCACCAGGUGGGGACAACCCACCUGGGCGUGCCUGGAGGGGGGCGCCCGAGUGGGUUGUGCCCACCCAGGUGCCCCUCUCCAGUGGUUCUUGGCUCCAGAAAUUAUUAUUUAUUGAAUAAAAAAUCCUCGCAAAGUUUCGUGCCAAUUUCUGCACAAAAACAACACCAGGGUAGUUCUACUAAAAACAACAUCAGUCCGGGUUAGUUUCAUUCAAAGCAUGCAAAUUAGAGUCCAAAACAAGAGGAAAAGCAUUAGGAAAAGUAGAUACAUUGGAGACGUAUCAGCGCUUGUGCUCGUCCGAGCGGUAGUUUCACCCGGCAUCCACAUCGAGCAUCUCCACAGAGUGAACGACGGUGAUCCAUACGACCGCAACUGGGUGUUUGAGCGCCCGUAUGAAGGCAAUAAUACCUCCAUUUGAUCAUCCGUAGCCAAUGAACCUCAUUAGCAACUAUGUUUUCUUUUAUUUCUUUUUGCUGGUUUCGUAUACCGAACCGAUGGUUUUAUUUUGUGUGUUAUUUUUGUAGGGGCUUGGACUUAUGUGGUAACAUGUACGGUAUUGCCAACCAUAUAAAAGAGUUACAGAAGCUGCUUGGUUGAUUCAUCAUGAUGAACUUCACAGACAAGUGCACGGUAACAUUUUCCAAUACGAACCCCGCUCAAAUAAAAGUCUCUUAGUAUCGAGUUUCUCACCUUAAGUGAGAAUAUCCCUUUUAAAUUAGGCACCUAGGAGUUGAACACUUGUGUUUUACCUUGUCUCACACGCACUUCAUCCAAACCUAAGGGUAGAUAACUCUUAGAAAUAGUUUGUUGACUUAAGCGAGGUGCUUAGGUUAAUGAACACAUCAUUGUGAGGCAUAUUUUUUACCACUUGUGUUGAUAAUCCUUUGUGCUACAAAAAAUGAAAACUCAAAAAUCACAAAAAAAUUGUUUUCUUUUAGUUCGUUUCCAUCAUGUUUUACAACAAGGAGAUCAAUUGAAGCAAGGUCCAUGCCUAUUAGAAGAGAGGUCAUAUGUGCCUCAACGGUAAAAGCCUUUGCUUAACUAAGCUUAGGGGAGGUAGCCACUUCGCAUGCUCUCUUUUAAUAAGUGCAUUUUCUCCUUAUUCUAUUAAUCUUCUCUAGUUUAGUAUUGCAAAGUUCUAAGCGUGGGGAGGUUACUUUUGCAUGUGUAGUGUCUUGUGCAAUGAUCUUCAUCAUUUGGUUUUUGUGCAUUAAUGUGCCCCGCUGUUUUGACAUGCUUGCUUUGCACUUGUUUGACUUAGCUUGUGGGAAUCUUAUUAUCUUGUGAAAAACAUUGCCAUGUUCAUUUAUCAAAAACCCAAUAGAGGAAUCCAUUGAACUGUUUCCUUUCAUUCACCUAAUUACAUAAGUUGGGGACUCUAGUGAUGGUUUGAUUAGCAAUUGAAUGAUUGUAAAGGCUUUUUGCUUAUGAACCCAGCAUCUUUGGUUGAUCCAAGACGCGCAAUAGGGUUCAUCUCCACCAAACCAUCCCGUCCGGGUACUUAGCUUUUGAGCCUUAUGCAACAUGACACCGUCGUACUCUUGUGUAUGUAGUGUUUGAGUGCUUUAUGACUAAGGCAAGUUUGAAACCAUUGCACUUCCGUUCAUAUUUUAUUACUAGCCUCUAAGGUACCGUGCAUUGCCCACUCUCACAUUCAGACAUGUAGCAAACUUCACAGGUGUCACACCCUGGUUUACAUGGCACAACACUUAAAGUGAUGAAUAAUGAUAAGAUGUGGUUUGACAAAAACUUUUGAGUGGUUUAGACUUUGCCUUGAUUGGAUUUUGUGUGUUGUUUUCAGGUGCUCUAAAAAUCAAAUAAAUCCUCCAACUCUUAUACUCCUUCUCCUUGAUCCAAAACUUCUGCCCAAUGAUCAUGCCAUGUGUAUAGUACAGUAUAGAAUUUUCUUAUAAAAAUAAUUUGGCCAAAAAGUAUUUUUCUAAAUUUAGUUUUCCAAAACCCCCUAGAUUGAGGUUGCACUACCAUACUUGAUUUGGGGUAUGAAAAAUAUUUCAAAGAGUAUAUUUGAAACCUAUUAGAUAUAGGAAUCCCAUAAAUCACAAAAAUAUAAUUUUAAAAGUAAUUUUCCUAUUUUAUUUAAAGGCUUUUUCUUUAGGCCAAAAAUGGUCUUUGAUAGGUUAAAUUAUUUUAAUGCUUUUAAAAAUAUUUGUAAAAAUUUAGGGAAACUCAGUUGGCAUAUAUUGUCCAUAUAUAUGAGUUUCAACACAUGGUCAUAUUCAAAAUAUUGGUUAAAUCCCUCAAAAACCCUUCCUGGAUAUUCCAAGCUUUUGAAAUAUUUACAAAGAAACUGUUCUCUAAAAAUUCCAAGAAACUUCUAGCAUGUCACAUAUGACAUAUUUGAUGAUCUGGCCAAGCCUCAUGUCAUGGAGAAUAGUAUAACCCCAUGAAACCCUCUCAAAACCAUUUCUGCCCUUUUCCAAGUUUGAACAACUUUGCAUUAGCAAACUUUCCCAGAUACUCUCAAGAUUGGUCCAGAUGCUAAAAUAGUCUAAUAAAUCAUCUAGACCAAGUGGCACAAGUUCGAGAACAAGUUAACUUGAUCAAAGUGCCCCAAAACCCUUCUUGUCCAGAACCAAAUUUGAACAACUCUACAUUGGAAACUUUCUCCUUUUGAUCUCAACUUUUGUGGACAUGUUCAGAACCUCAAAUGAUGACACUACACCAAUUGGUGCAUCAAGGAGAAUAGAUUUGCAUGACUAAAUCUUGGGAAGUCCAUUUCUGUUGAUUUCUAGGGUUUACAAAAGUUGCAUUGGCAACUUUGCCAAAUGGACUCAAUAUUGGUGGAACCUCUUAUUUUCUCAUACCAUUUGACCUUGUCAAGCCUCAUGACAAGAGGAGUUCAUCUUCUUGCCCAAACCACCAUCAAACACCUUUGGCAGAAAUUUAAAAUGCAUGUUUUGGCCAUUUUCCACUAAUCUCCAUGAGCUCAACUUUUUCCCACAGCCCCAUCUGGUCCUCCUCCAACCCCUGCAUCUUCCCCUGCCAGAGAAGCCAUGAUGAAGGGGGUGAAAAGCCCUUUUUCCCCCUCUGGACAUCAGCUUUCCUCCUAUUUUCUCACCUCUCUCUCACUCCUGGCAAGCCCCAGGGCAUCCAAUGCCUUUUACCACAUUGUUUACUCCCCUGUGCAGCCACUAGACACUAGUGGACACGCGAGUGCGCGCAGAAAAGCCGUGGAUGCCGGCCAUUUGCGCGCUCUGGAGCAUGUCAGCGUGCUCCUGACCGUUGACGCCGCGUCUCCCGACCACCUCGAGCCUCCCCCUCGCGCCAGUCGAUUUGCCUCGACGUCCGCAACACACCACCGCGCUGGCCCCCUCCUUUCCCCCUCUGUCUUGCCCAUGCCGCGCGUGCCCAGAGCCGCCCGAGCCCGCCAAUGCGUGUGCGAGCUCGUGGCUCCACCCGGAGCUCGCCCCGCUCCCUCUCUCCCUUCCUGGUGCCCUACUCGACUCCCACGAACAUCAUAGACAGCCCGAGCCUCCUCCCGUGGCGACUGCGGCCAUUUCUGCUGGUGCCCGUAGGCCACGUCCACGGUGAGCCACGGCCUCGCCAUAUAAGGUCGCCCCUGACCCCCCUCUGGAGCUCCUUUGCUCUCUCUCUCUCUCCCGUGCACCCCCUAGACCAACCUGCACCUCCUCUCAUGCCCUCCUACUCCCUCCAUGGCGGGAGUGCCGCCGUCGGUCUCCGCCCAAAUUCCCGCAAACCAAAGCCUCCCCUCUCCUCCUUUGGACACCAAUGGAGCCACCGCACGCCGGGGAGGCUCCUCCGCCCUUUAACUCCUCCUCUAGCGCCCCGCAACCCCCAGAACCCCUCUCACCCGACGCCACCUUCCACCGCGGGUGAAGCCCUGCUCCCGUCCGGUGACGCAGGCACCCGUGGUGGGGCCUCGCUGGUUCGUCUCUCUUUGCUGAGCACGCCGGUGGCCGGUCCUCCGAAAACGGUGGUCGGUAGCGCCGCCGGCCGCUGUCAAGCGCUUGAUCUGUCUUCCGUCCCGCCCGCGCAGGAGGUAGCGGACGAACCUGCAGCUGGGCCCCACUUGUCGGCCGGCCAGUGGGCAGGGGCCACUGACGGGUGGGCCAUGUCUCGCCCGCUUAAGUGGAGGCGGCAUAGGCGGCAUUCCGUCUUCGCCACAGGGAGGCGCAAUCUGCGAAGGCGCUAUCGACGUGGCCCCCAGCACGUGCGUGGCCAUGCAGUUGGGCCGGCCCAGUUGCGCCUCGCUGUUAAAUCCCACCCAGUGCGCGCUGCCGCCACUGGAAUUUGGCCCAUUAGGUAUUUCCAUUUACAUUUUCUUUUUGAGCAAGAUUCAAACUUUUCUAGAGACCGCAUUUCAAGUCCAAAUCUGAUGAUUCAAAUUUUCCGUGACUCCAUAAAUCAAUAUCUAUUUAACGAGCCAUAGUGAACAUUUUUACACUGCCUAGUUUCACCUGGAUCUGACAAAUAGGUCAUUUAUACUCCUAAACCAACUUCAAAAAUCCAUAAAAUAUUCAUUUGAACUCCAAAUCCAGUGAAACCAAUUUCUAAAUGUUUCUAAAAUCAUGCCUGAUUUAAUGGGUACUUUUAUUCAUUUUUAUAAAAAGUAAUUCUGUAGACAACUUGCAGAUCCAUUAAAUCCCUUGGUUCCAAUAUAUUGAAAUGUUCAGAAAUAUCCACUUAUCCAAUUCCAUUGAAAUCACUUUGGUCAUUCCCCAUAUGACCAGAGGUAUCCUAGAAAAGUCCAACUUGUAUUUUUAGAGCACUUUUAUUUUUGCCUUGUUGUGUUGCUUAUUGUGAUUGUCUCCGGCGUUAGUUGACGAAGUAGACGGAGUACUUGGAGAAGGACCAGAAGAUUUCAAGACUCUGAUGAACCAGGCAAGCAGCCUUUGACCAUGUCUACGAAACCCUUUUUAUGCAUGUCAUAUAACACUUUAUUAUUGUUGCAUCGGAAUCAUGAUGAGGUGGUAACCACUUUGGUGGGUUGCCUUCGUUACUUCCUUGUUCAUACUUGCAUUGGGCAUGACCCUACGUUCCUAUGAGGGUUAUGCCGGUGGGAGUAGAUAGGAUGCUAAAGUAGUUGCUACGCAAAAGGGACGGGAUUAUGCAUGGUGAUGGAGGCAAAGUAUUUACAAAAGACUUUUUGAAAACCCCGUCGGGUGCCACUUAUGCCCGAGGGAGGUAAUGAGAUGGAUAACCACUUGAUGACGAAGUGGUGUACCGAGGCAAGCGUGAGUGUUGUUUUCAAAAAUGGAUUGGUUUAAGUUGCGACCGUUAUUCCAACCUUACAUGCGCAACCACUCUACCCUUGUAUGGGAAAGGGCAUUAUUGAUUACCUAGGUCGAUACUAGCUUGGAGCCCGCAUUACUAGUGACGGGGGAGAGUUGGUGCUCUCUCUCGGGACGGGGUCGUGCUAGGUAGGGCGGCCAAGAACAUUUUUAUGGGGCACCGGACACACCAUUGGUACCCCGUGCUUGUGAUGUGAGAUGAUUAUGGAGCAUGGCUCCACGAAAAUGUUAUGUGAUAAUGUUGGGAACGGGGGUUACUACCAAUCGAGUGGACUCCAUGUUAGUGUCGUCUAGGAAAAGGUAGUGAUCGGGUGCUUACCCCGGGUACUUGAGGUAUCGCGGGUUGUGGAUGACACGGAAGUUCCCCGGAUCUUGUGGGUAAAGUGUGCACCCUCUGCAGAGUGUAAAACUAUUCGAAUAGCCAUGUCCAUGGUCAAGGACAGUUGGGUAACCGCUCUUGGGCUACGUCCAUAUGUUUCUGAAAAACAACACAGUUUGGUGAUAUUGAUGAUGUGACUCGCAAGGAAGUCACGAUGAGCUUGAGCAUGAGUUGUUCAUAACUCUUUCUCGAUGUUGAUGUCUGUAACCUCCUGAUACUUGUUGCAGACGCACUCAUGUCCUUGAUAAACGUUGAUCAUACUUACAUGAGAAAAACUAGCUUUCCGCAAAAAUGCCAAUUAAGCAGUAGAGCUUUGCAUAAUUCUUUUGUUGUCACUCUUGGGUUGCUUGCGAGUACAUUCAAACGUACUCACUGGCUUGUCCCUGGCUAUUUACUUGGCCAGGCUUGAAAGAGCAGGUAUACGAAGAAGCGAUUUUGGUGGCGAUCAUGCGAGCUAGGACGCUUCCCAGUCAAAAUGCAUGUAGGGUUAAGGCAGAUGGCAUGGGUCCAAGUUAUCGAUGAAGAUUUCCACUGCAAUGUUAUAUUCAAGACUUGACCAUAAUGUUCAUAAUUUAUGUAAGACGGUAUGUAUGGAUGUAAGACUCUUGUUAUUCAGCUUCUGUGUGUUCAGUGAGCAUUGAUCUCUGGGAUCACUGUACAUGUGCAUUCGGUGAUCACGACUUAUGAGUUGGGGUCCCCACAGAGCUGGUAUCAGAGCCAUCCUGACUGUAGGAAGCCUUAGUUAGCAUGGUCGUUAGUUAGGGUAAAGCUAUUUUCAAAACUAUUAGUAAUUUUCAAAACUAUCUAUACUUCUUUUCCCCUUCUGAGUUUUUCGAAAACUAAGAUAUACUUUCCUCUUCCCCUUCAAAUUUAAUGGUCGCUAGAAUCCUUAUGCCCCUGACCACGAGAUUCCUUGAAAUCCUCAUGGAUAAUCUAGAAGGAAGACGCCUUGCCAGACACUCACCCACCUCUUUUGAACACAAGAUUGGCAACACCACAGCAAGACGAUGCCAACAGAAGGUACGCCCUCAAGGAAUGAGGACAUGAAGACCCAAAGGAUGGUGACACCUUUGAAAUUGCCCCAGGAUUAUGAAACCUUGGCCUAUGAUGACCAAGGCAUAGGAUAAGCAAGAUCAUGAUAUACAUCUUUAGUAGAGCAACCCUGCCCUUGUCAUUGUUGCAUCGGCAACCGCUGGUGGAUGAGAACCUAGCCAUUUGGUCCGCCUCACUAUAGUGAGCAAGAAAAUGGUUCUCUUCAUCCCCCGCUCUCGGUGACGAUACUAGCAACAGUGUGUCUGGCAGAAUGGACCUCUACUAUGCAUUGUUAGUGUUGUUACAUAAAGGAUUGCCUACCUGGUACAAUCAACGCCUUAGAAGGCAAGAGGGAUCAUCAUGAUUAAGAAGACAAGAGGAGACCAAGUCAAUACCAGCUACGAGGAGCCACCGUCAGCCCAUCACUUCAACAGGCGAGAAGUUGCUGAAGACUCUUCAAGAUCAACCUAGAUCGUUCCAUCAAACAACUACGGGAGACAUAGCGACACCUGAGGAAAACUCAGAAGACUGCACGAGGCACGAAGCAAAGCACGACUACUGAAUCCGAGAACCCCUAGGGUAGGAUGAGUCGUGUAACCCCUAUGCGCAGUCGAGUCCAUAUGAUGGUCCGAAUAGAACCAUGAUUGUGUGUUGCUUGUUUUAUUUGUUUGUGUUUUGAUAUCAGUCGCUCUUUUUGCCCUAGGCCACAAGUACGUGACUAUAUCACCUUCCUUAUCUUAAUGCUUGUGUUUGGCCCUUUCGGCACUUGUUGCUUGCACUUGCACUAUAGAACCCCCUUUAGGCAUCCCCCUCCUCUAUGCUACUUUUCCCUCUCGUCUCCCUCUCCUCAGCCGAAGACCGACAAGACAAGGUACACCAAGGAUUCUACUUCGACAACCAACUAGCGCUAAAGACUUUUGCUACAGCCUCCUUGACCAAGUGCAACCCCGUAGAGUCAUGUUUAGUCCUCCAGACUGGAAACCCAUCCCUAGACCCUUCGAGACUCCACGAGAUACCCCAACUUGAAUCCUUAACCAUGUGCUUAACCCACAGAAUUGCAAGAGAACCCUUUAAGCCUCCGUAACCUUGCACAAAAAUGGAUUCAUUAUGGAACUAGUAGACGUAAUGAGCAAGCACAUUGUCACCCUAAUAUAGCACAAGAAUUGACGAUGCCAUAGGAAAGACCAGUUUAAAGAUAUAGGAAUAGAGGACAAAUGACUUGAUGGAGCUAUACUAGUAACCUUGAGAAUGUAUCCGACACUCUUUGGUGGAGUAUGAGGUCUCCAUAUUGGUAGAUGAACUUGGUGGAAUCAUGUGGAUAGAGUAGCAUAGCUUUCUUCACCCCGGAGUAAAUUUGGAUUUAAAUAGGUGAUCCUAGUGGAGUAUAGAUGUUGAGUAAGUCUACAUUGUUCGGAGUAAAUUGGAUUUAGACUGAUGAUCUCGAUCGUGAUACCAUGUUUCUCGGUGGAUGACAAACUAGGAGAUUGGAUAGUUGCCGGAGUGUAUUUAGGAAUCUAUAAAAGCUGAACUUGUUGUUUACUUGACAAUGAUAGAUGGAAAUUGGUGGACUUACUAUAAGCAGAGAUAACCCUUUCAAGUAUUUGGGGAUUAUAUGGACUUUAGGAGAUCACGUGGAACACCAUAAACUUUGGAUUGGUAGAAUUAAUGGAUUGUGUAGUGAUUGAUGGAACUUAAUGGGCUGUUGGGGUUGACUCAUAGGAAGGAAACAAGAUCUUGGAGUGGCAUAUGACGUUUUUCCUUAGGGUAGAGAUGCACUAUCUUGGACCUUGGAAGGAUAGGCUGAGCACUUCGAUUGUCAUGAUUGAUUCAAGCUUGGAAGCUUGUAUAUUCUGCCCAUGGAUUUUUGCAUAGGGAUAGCCAUACACAUGAGUUUGGGAUAGUUGACGUGUAUGAUUUUUGUUACCUCCUCUCGAGGGUCAGGAGGACAUGAAUAACCUGAGUGGCGAUUGGAGUUUAUCUAUAUGAGAUGGUGCUUUCGGUGAUAUAAAGUGAUUUGUUUGGAAGACUAGAUAGAAAAAUUGGCAUCUCACAAACUGUGCUUAAGGAUAAGAUGAUAAACGUUCACCCACACACUAGAAUCCUUGAAACUCCUAAGACCCACCAAGCCACAACAUGGUUGGGUCAUGACCCUGGGCCUUGACUCUAGGUCGAGAAGACCUUGGCCAAUACUCAACCGUGACCACCACCAAUGCCUCAGCCUACCUUAUGUACCCCAUGAACGGAUACUUCACGGAGAACUUGGAUUGGUGACCUACUUGUCUAACCGAAGACCAAAGAAGAACCGUUCAGCUGGUUAGGGAACAUCCGAAGACCCCCAAGUCAAGGAGGAAGAACUAUACCAACCCCAUCGUCAAGAAGUGAACUUCCUCGUUGAAGACCGUGCGUAUCUACAAACCACUCCUAUUGAAGAAACCAAGCAUUUCCAUGUAAAGGGGAAGCUCACACCAAGAUUUAUCGGCCUCUCAAAGAUCACUUCAAGACAAGAAAUAGACGGCUACCAGCUAGAGUUACCACCUGAGUUACCCAUGGUGCACAACAUCUUCCAUGCGUCACAACUCCGGAAGUGUUUCCAACUUCCUAACUAGCCCGAUCACUAGCAAGGACAUCGAUCACCGGGCCAUCGACCCCCAGCCCAACCUGACCUACACAAGAAACCCAUUAGCAACCUGGACCAAGUAGGACGUUAUACACGAAGCCACACCAUCAAGUACUUCAAGGUUCAAUGGAUCACCACUCGGAAGCAGAAGCAGUAUGAGGAUGUGAAGACUACCCCAAAUCCAAGUUUCCAUACUCCUUUCCGCGCCUAGUUGGGAAUCUCGGGGACGAGAUUCUUGUAAGGGGGGUAGGUCUAUCACACCCUGGUUUACAUGGCACAACACUUAAAGUGAUGAAUAAUGAUAAGAUGUGGUUUGACAAAAACUUUUGAGUGGUUUAGACUUUGCCUUGAUUGGAUUUUGUGUGUUGUUUGCAAGUGCUCUAAAAAUCAAAUAAAUCCUCCAACUCUUAUACUCCUUCUCCUUGACCCAAAACUUCUGCCCAAUGAUCAUGCCAUGUGUAUAGUACAGUAUAGAAUUUUCUUAUAAAAAUAAUUUGGCCAAAAAGUAUUUUUCUAAAUUUAGUUUUCCAAAACCCCCUAGAUUGAGGUUGCACUACAAGUACUUGAUUUGGGGUAUGAAAAAUAUUUCAAAGAGUAUAUUUGAAACCUAUUAGAUAUAGGAAUCCCAUAAACCACAAAAAUAUAAUUUUAGAAGUAAUUUUCCUAUUUUAUUUAAAGGCUUUUUCUUUAGGCCAGAAAUGGUCUUUAAUAGGUUAAAAUUAUUUUAAUGCUUUUAAAAAUAUUUGUAAAAAUUUAGGGAAACUCAGUUGGCAUAUAUUGUCCAUAUAUAUGUGUAACGCCUUGGUUUCGAUGCGCAAAGGUGUCUGCCAGUUAUUCGUCAGCGUUGCCAUGUCAUUUGCUUGCGUGUUGCAUUUUAUCAUGUCAUCAUGUGCAUUUCAUUUUGCAUACGUGUUCGUUUCUUGCAUCCGAGCAUUUUCCCCGUUGUCCGUUUUGCAAUCCGGCGCUCCUAUGUCCUCCAGCGUUCCCCUUCUUGCCUCACUUCGUGAGCGGGUGUUAAACUUUCUCGGAAUGGACCGAGUCUUGCCAAGUGGUCUUGGUAUAGCACCGGUAGACCGCCUGUCAAGUUUCAUGCCAUUUGGAGUCCGUUUGAUACUCCAACGGUUAACCGGGUAACCGUAAAAGCCCCUCUCUCUUUGCAGCCCAACACCCUUCCAAACUGGCCCAAAACCCAUCCAAACCCCCUCCUUACUCUCGGUCGUUCGAUCACGAUCGCGUGGCCGAAAACCGCUCCUCAUUUGGACUCUCCUAGCUCCCUCUACCUAUAUAUAUAUAUAUAUAUAUAUAUAUAUAUAUAUAUAUGUGUGUGUGUGUGCCCCUCCCCGAUUUUUCGCAUUCCAAACCCUAGCCUUCCUCAUUCUCACGCCCCUGUCGCCCUGCCUCCGUGCCCUCGACCUCCAGCGCGGUCCCGUCCGACCCGCGACUCAGGCGAGCUCUGCUGGAGCUGCGCCGCCCCGCAGCGCCUCGCCGUGCUGCCCGGCCUCGCCCUCCGCCGCCGCCGCGCCGGAUCCGGCCGGAUCCGGCCGGGCCAACCCAUCUCCGGCCAACUCUCCUCCAACCCCGGUGAGCUCAGCCCGCCUCGGGACCCGUGCAAGCCAGAUCUGAAUGAGGUUGACUUUCCCCCCUUCCCCGAUUUUCAUCUAAGUCCCAGAUUUUUGUCAUUAUCAUGCCAUGUUCAUCGUAUCGUAUCUCUGCAUCCGUAGCUCCGUUUUGUGCGUGUAAUAUGUCAAAUUGUUCGCCCAACGAGUACAUCAUUUCAUUCCAUUGCAUCAUGUUCAUUUGAGCUCAUCUUGAUGCCUGAAUCAUUGUUGCAAGAGUGCUUCAUGAUGUUUUCUGCUGUCUGUUAUCAGAACGAGCUCAUUUGUCAUUUUUGCCAUGUUUGAUGUGUGCAUCUUAUGAGGUUGAUGUCUACAUGUGUUUUGAUCUAUGCUAUGUCUUCUUUACAGAGGUGCUUACCAUGUAUUUUUGUUAUCAAUGUGGUGACUAGCACAAGCAUGCAAACUAGGCAUCGUGAUGUUGCUGAUUUUAGUCCCUGUUCUGCUGUUAUUUUGAUGCCAUGUAAACAUGUUGCUACAGAGAGAUCCAUGCAUAUUUUGAGAUACUUAAGUAAGGGUGUUUUGAAGAUAUGGUUAUUCUCUAUCCAUCCUUGCCCUUGGUUGCAAUUAUGGAGUAGUCUAGCAUGUCAUUUUUGUGCUCUACUUUUGCUUCAAAUGUUUCCUGGCAGAUUGUUUACAUGUUAUUCAAUUUUGCCAAGGUUGUUGUAGUUGAUCCUUGCAUGCUAUGAACUUGUUCUUGCCUUGGUUAGCUUCAUAAACAUGUCUUAUUACUGUUGGUUUCCUUGCCAUGCCAUGUAUUGCUCUGUGGUGAGUGGUUCAAGCUCACCAACAUGCCUUCAUAAUUCUGUUUCUGCCAUGUUUGAAUCUGUAAUAUAACUUGCCAUGUUUACAUGGAUGCCAUCAUAUUUUCUGAUCCUUUUUGGCUCAUGGUCAGUAAGGGACUUUUGAUAUAUGGGUUUAUUAGAUUCAUUCCAUGCCUUUGUUUGCCAUGAUAAGUUCCUGUAACAUGUUGUUUGAUAGCUCUAAACAUUGCAACCUGAUGUUAUUUUCUGCAAAGUCUGAAAUUGUUAUAACUUGCAAUUUUACCAUGUGUGUUUGAGCAUGUUCUAGUGAUUUCUGGAGAUAGCUCAGUGUUCAUGUUUUAUUAUGCUUUACCUGUACAUCAUUCCCAUGUCUUUUGUUUUCUUGUUGAGGUCCUGUAGCAUGUUGUUUUGAUGCUUUCAAUAUGCCUAGUCGCUGUUUUGGACAGAUUGUUGCUAUAACUUGUAUAGAGUGUGUGUGUGUGUGUGUGUUGAACCGUUGCCCCGUUUUGAGUGUGCUUUAUAUGAAACUUGCUUAGAAUUGCAGGUAGCUUCAUAUUAUCAUGUUGCAUCCUUGUUUUGAGGUGUUUGCUUGAUGUUUGUAUGCAUUUUUCAUCAAUGCCAUAUUUAUCUUGUUUUGCUCAUAUCUUCUAGGCCGUAGCUCCGAACUAAAUGAACUUUAUAUAUAACUUGACUAGAAUUUCAUGUAGAUCCUCCUAGUGCAUCUUAACUUGCUGUUUAACAACUUGAACAUAAGGUUUAUUCAGAUCUGGACCAAUUUCGAAAUUUGCAUAUGAGGAUUUACCGGAAUUGUUAUAUGUUGUUCCCGGCCUCAUUUAAACUUGCUUUGAUGUGUUGUUCUUGUUUGCAUCAUCUUUUGCCAUUAGUAGCUUCAUGUAGCCUUGUCAUGCAUCAUGCUUGUUGUGCAUCAUGCCUUGCAUAUGUGUGGUUUGUUUACCGUGUUGUGUGCUUCUUCUCGAUAGUUCCUGUUUCGUUGCGAUCGUGAGGAUUCGUUCGUCUACGCUUCAUUUGGCUUCAUCCGUUCGUCUUCUUCAUGGACUCGUUCUUCUUCCUAGCGGGAUUUUAGGCAAGAUGACCGCUACCCUGGAUCUCACUACUAUCAUUGCUAUGCUAGUUGCUUCGUUCUAUCGCUAUGUUGCGCUACCUAUCACCUGUUUAUCAAGCCUCCCAAAUUGCCAUGAACCUCUAACCUUGACACCUUUCCUAUGCAAACCCUUGUUUGGCUAUGUUACUGCAGUUGCUCAGCCCCUCUUAUAGCGUUGUUAGUUGCAAGUGAAGUUGAAGAUUGCUCCAUGGUGGACAGGAUUUUGUUUGGGAUAUCACAAUAUCUCUUAUAUUAUUAAUGCAUCUAUAUACUUGGUAAAGGGUGGAAGACUCGGCCUUUUGCCUGGUGUUUUGUUCCACUCUUGCCGCCCCUAGUUUCCGUCAUACCGGUGUUAUGUUCCCGGAUUUUGCGUUCCUUACGUGGUCGGGUGAUUUAUGGGACCCCCUUUACAGUUUGCUUUGAAUAAAACUCCUCCAGCAAGGCCCAACCUUGGUUUUACCAUUUGCCUCACCACCACCUACCCUUUCCCUUGGGUCGGCCAACCCAAGGGUCAUCUUUAUUUUAGCCCCCCCCCUCGGGCCAGUGCUUGUCUAAGUGUUGGUCCGAACCGAGUAGACUGCGGGGCCCCCUCGGGGAAACUCGAGGUCUGGUUUUACUCGUAGGAUGUCUCAUCCGGUGUUGCCCUGAGAACAAGAUAUGUGCAGCUCCUAUCGGGAUUUGUCGGCACAUCGGGCGGCUUUGCUGGUCUUGUUUUACCAUUGUCGAAAUGUCUUGUAAACCGGGAUUCCGAGUCUGAUCGGGUCUUCCUGGGAGAAGGUAUAUCCUUUGUUGAUCGCGAGAGCUUAUCAUGGGCUAAGUUGGGACACCCCUACAGGGUAUAAUCUUUCGAAAGCCGUGCCUGCGGUUAUAGGCAGAUGGGAAUUUGUUAAUGUCCGGUUAUAGAUAACUUGACACCAGAUCCGAAUUAAAAUGCAUCAACCACAUGUGUAGCCCUGAUGGUCUCUUUUCGGCGGAGUCCGGGAAGUGAACACGGUUUCUGUGUUAUGUUUGACAUAAGUAGGAGUUCAGGAUCACUUCUUGAUCAUUGCUAGCUUCACGACCGUUCCUUUUGCUCUCUUCUCGCUCUUAUUUGCGUAUGUUAGCCACCAUAUAUGCUUAGUCACUGCUGGAGCCUCACCACUUUACCCCUUCCGUUCCCUUUAAGCUUUGCUAGUCUUGAUACCCAUGGUAAUGGGAUUGCUGAGUCCUCAUGGCUCGCAGAUUACUACAACAAUAGUUGCAGGUACAGGUUUUGCGAUGAUCAUGACGCGAGAGCGAUGCUUGCUUUGCGUUGAGUUCUUCUUCUGCUUCUUCUUUGAUCAGGGGAUAGGUUCCAGGUCGGCAGCCUGGGCUAGCAGGGUGAAUGUCGUUUGAGUUUCUGUUUGUGUUUCAUCCAUAGUCAGAUGAUGCUCUUAUGUAUUGUGAUGUUGUAUUCGUGUGGCAUUGUAUGCCUCUUGUAUGUAUCCUCAUCUAUUAUGUAAUGUUGAUGUAAUGAUAUCCACCUUGCAAUAGCGUUUCAAUAUGCGGGUCUAUCCUUGGCGGGACCUUUGAGUUCCUUUUGGAUAGGGUCGCAUAUUGGGCGUGACAAGUUGGUAUCAGAGCCUCGACCGACCUUAGGAGCCCCUUGAUUGAUCGUGUAGUUUGGCCGUUGUUGAGUCUAGAAGAAAACUGCUUUCGGAGUCUACUUAUAUCGGAGAGUAGGAAUUCUUUUUACUCCUCAGCCCAUUCGUCGCCCUGGUGAGGAAUCUUGACGUAGGUGUUUUGAAUUACUCCUCUUCCCCUUCAAUUUUUCUUUAGGAUGACGCAGUUGGUUUUCCGAUCGUUGGUUCUCAGCUCUUUUCAUCCGGUGCAUUUCUCGUCAAGUUGACUCGAGUCUCUUCAUCAUUGAGUUCAAUCCUCAGUUGUUUUCUUUCGCACCCACCCACCCUUUUUCUUCUCGGAACCGGAGUCCGUAAUCGAGUAUCCAUCCUACUCGUGCGAAGUCCUUGCCUUCUUUCUUCAAUGUUUUCAACCGGUGAUUUCUCUUCAAGAUAUUCGUCGAUUUCCCCUCCCGAGUUGCCUUUGUUUUUCCCGCCCUCCCACCCUUUUUUCUUCCCGGAGUCUGUCUCUCUCUCGGCCAUCUAUUUCAUUCGUGUGGAGUCUCUUCAGUCUUUCGUCAAUUGUUUCAACUGGUGAAUUUCUCUUUUGUUCAACAUUCUUCAUCUCUUUUCCGGUGGACCCAAUUCAAGUUUUUCGGGUUGAUCAUAUUCUUUUCCUCAAAGUGUUUUCCCUGCUCGUUCGCCUCUCGCCAUUCAAUCAUUCCGGAGUUCGGAAGACAUCUCAGGAGAUUCGUCAGUGUUCCAAUUAAUUCUAGGUUGUCACCUCAUUCAAAUAUUUCAAUUGUUCUAGUGCAUCAUCUAUCUGUUUCAACAAUCCUUUUCAACGGUGUUAUGUCUUCAGUGGGCCCUAACCCACAGGUUUUUUCCCAGGAUCUUACAUGACUCUUCUAAUUCCCUCGGAGUUAUUCUCAAUUCUUUUCAAAGUGUGACGUAAGAAUGAAUUUCAUCAGUCAGAUGCCAUCUCUAAGAUCGCUUUCAAACUCUUUUCAUUGUUGGUUCAACCCUUCCUAUUUUUCAUUCUCCCGGAGUACCUCUGUAAUUUUGGUGGUGUUUCUCGUCGACAUUUGAAGAUCGCAGAAGAGUUUUUCCUCUAAAUCUUGUCUGUUCUCUCGAAGACUCGUGGUUCUAGCUUCAUAUUAUCCUCUCGAAUUGUUUCAUUUGUUAGCUAUCCUUUUCUUACCCAUCCGGAGUUUGUCAGGAGUUGUUUUUCAUUUUCUUUUCACCGGAGGCCAUUUUUCCAGAAGAAUUCUUCGCCCUCAUCAUUCCUGCUAUCGUCCUCUAAUUAUUCCGGUGAUUCCAUCAAGUAUUCUUUAUCAGUUCAUGAUCUCUUCGUUCUUUUGCAUCUAAAUCCCCUCAAGCAUAUUUGUUCUUCUAAUUCUUCCCGGUGAUUCAUUCUCUUUCGUCAGUCAUUUUCGAAUUCUUACGGUGGUUUCUUCAUAUUCUUUUUCUUUGAUUAUCAUAUUAAUCCAUUCGUUCUUUCGAUCCUACCGGUGGUUCAUGAAGACCUUCUCAAGUUUUGUGCUAUCCCUUCUCAAUCCUUUUCAAGAAGAAUAAGUAGUAUGAAAAAUCCAUUGUUGGUCAUCAAUUUAAUUUGAUGAAGGAUAAGCAUACAAUAAAUCUUAUUCUUAUUUCAUCCAAGUGAGUAAUCCCUUCCUUUGGAGUUUGUUCUUAAUGAAUAAAUUCUAGUUCCAUGUGUUUCAUCUUUUCUUUUCUGGAGUUUAAAUUUCCUCGGUCAUUUCAUCGGAACCUCCAUCUAAAUCAUCGCAAGGCUUAAUCUUAUUCUUUCCUCCUUCAUUCUAUCUCAUCAUCCUUUUGUUACCGGAGUUCUUCAUGGUGGUUCUUCAUGAUUUAAUUCAUUCUUCAAGUGUUCAUCAAGAUUCUUGUUGGCGGAGUUCAAGUAUCUUUUCUUCUCCCAUCUUGAAGUACAAUUAAUCAUCUGUAUUCUUUUGAAGUGGAGUUUUGCAUUCCUUCGUUCUUCUCAGCUAUUCAAUCAUUUCCGUUUGCGGCUGGUUAUCACCUCAUAAUUUCUAAGAUGUUUCCAAUAAGUCCACAACAAGUUUAUUCUUUCGUUGUUGAUUUUCUCAACAAAUCCAUUCAAUCCCUCUAAAUUCUUUUCAUCCAAUUUUCUUUCAAUUCUUUCCGGAGGUUUUGUGUCAUGGCUUCAUCAAGUAUCUUUCCAUCCUCUCAAGCUCGUGUUCUAUUUAUCCAUGUUUCAGCCGGAGUGCUGCCUAAAUCCUUUCAGUAUUAUUCAUUUCUUAUCUUGUUCUAACCGGAGUGGUUUCAUAGUCUAUCUGAUUCCGUGAGCUUUUGAUUCUCGUCAUUCUCGUCGUUCCUCUAUUCUUCUCGAGUGCUCUCGAUUCUUUGCUUCUUCUCUUGAGUUCUUGCUUCACCUCAUCCCUUUUCCCUUCCAUCUCGGUCCUAAGAUCUCGGGACGAGAUCUCUUGUUAGUGGAGGAGUGUUGUAACGCCCCGGUUUCGAUGCGCCAGGUGUCUGCCAGUUACUCGUCGAUGUUGCCAUGUCAUUUGCUUGCGUGUUGCAUUUUAUCAUGUCAUCAUGUGCAUUUCAUUUUGCAUACGUGUUCGUUUCUUGCAUCCGAGCAUUUUCCCCGUUGUCCGUUUUGCAAUCCGGCGCUCCUAUGUCCUCCGGCGUUCCCCUUCUUGCCUCUCUUCGUGAGCGGGUGUUAAACUUUCUCGGAAUGGACCGAGUCUUGCCAAGCGGCCUUGGUAUAGCACCGGUAGACCGCCUGUCAAGUUUCGUGCCAUUUGGAGUCCGUUUGAUACUCCAAUGGUUAACCGGGUAACCGUAAAAGCCCCUCUCUCUUUGCAGCCCAACACCCUUCCAAACUGGCCCAAAACCCAUCCAAACCCCCUCCUUACUCUCGGUCGUUCGAUCACGAUCGCGUGGCCGAAAACCGCUCCUCAUUUGGACUCUCCUAGCUCCCUCUACCUAUAUAUAUGUGACCCUCCCCGAUUUUUCGCAGUCCAAACCCUAGCCUUCCUCAUUCUCGUGCCCCUGCCGCCCUGCCUCCGCGCUCUCGACCUUCGGCGCAGUCCCGUCCGCCCCGCGACUCAGGCGAGCUCCGCCAGAGCUGCGCCGCCCCGCAGUGCCUCGCCGUGCCGCCCGGCUUCGCCCUCCGCAGCCGCCGCGUCGGAUCCGGCCGGGCCAACCCAUCUCCGGCCACCUCUCCUCCAACCCCGGCGAGCUCAGCCCGCCUCGGGACCCAUGCAAGCCAGAUCUGAACGAGGUUGACUUUCCCCCCCCCCCUUCCCCGAUUUUCGUCUCAAGUCCCAGAUUUUUGUCAUUAUGAUGCCAUGUUCAUGGCAUCGUAUUCUACAUCCGUAGCUCCGUUUUGUGCGUGUAAUAUGUCAAAUUGUUCGUCUCAACGAGUACAUCAUUUGAUUCCAUUGCAUCAUGUUCAUUUGAGCUCAUCUUGAUGCCUGAAUCAUCGUUGCAAGAGUGCUUCAUGAAGUUUUCUGCUGUCUGUUAUCAGAACGAGCACAUUUGUCAUUUUUGCCAUGUUUGAUGUGUGCAUCUUAUGAGGUUGAUGUCUUCAUGUGUUUUGAUCUAUGCUAUGUCUUCUUUACAUAGGUGCUUACCAUGUAUUUUUGUGAUCAAUGUGGUGACUAGCACAAGCAUGCAAACUAGGCAUCGUGAUGUUGCUGAUUUUAGUCCCUGUUCUGCUGUUAUUUUGAUGCCAUGUAAACAUGUUGCUACAGAGAGAUCCAUGCAUAUUUUGAGAUACUUCAGUAAGGGUGUUUUGAAGAUAUGGUUAUGCUAAGUGGCACCCGACGGUGUUUUCAAAAAGUCUUUCGUAAAUACUUUGCCUCCAUCACCAUGCAUAAUCCCGUCCCUUUUGCGUAGCAACUACUUUAGCAUCCUAUCUACUCCCACCGGCAUAACCCUCAUAGGAACGUAGGGUCAUGCCCAAUGCAAGUAUGAACAAGGAAGUAACGAAGGCAACCCACCAAAGUGGUUACCACCUCAUCAUGAUUCUGAUGCAACAAUAAUAAAGUAUUAUAUGACAUGCAUAAAAAGGGUUUCAUAGACAUGGUCAAAGGCUGCUUGCCUGGUUCAUCAGAGUCUUGAAAUCUUCUGGUCCUUCUCUAAGUACUCCGUCUACUUCGUCAACUAACGCUGGAGACAAUCACAAUAAGCAACACAACAAGGCAAAAAUAAAAGUGCUCUAAAAAUACAAGUUGGACUUUUCUAGGAUACCUCUGGUCAUAUGGGGAAUGACCAAAGUGAUUUCAAUGGAAUUGUAUAAGUGGAUAUUUCUGAACAUUUCAAUAUAUUGGAACCAAGGGAUUUAAUGGAUCCGCAAGUUGUCUAUAGAAUUACUUUUUAUAAAAAUGAAUAAAAGUACCCAUUAAGUCUGGCAUGAUUUUAGAAACAUUUAGAAAUUGGUUUCACUGGAUUUGGAGUUCAAAUGAAUAUUUUAUGGAUUUUUGAAGCUAGUUUAGGAGUAUAAAUGACCUAUUUGUUAGAUCCAGGUGAAACUCGGCAGUGUCAAAAUGUUCACUAUGGCUCGUUAAAUAGAUAUUGAUUUAUGGAGUCACGUAAAAUUUGAAUCAUCAGAUUUGGACUUGAAAUGAGGUCUCUGGAAAAGUUUGAAUCUUGCUCAAAAAGAAAACGUAAAUGGAAAUAACUAAUGGGCCAAAUUCCAGCGGCGGCAGCGCGCACUGGGCGGGAUUUAAUAGUGAGGCGCAACUUGGCCGGCCCAAUUGCACGGCCACUCGCGUGCUGGGGGCCACGUCGAUAGCGCCUUCGCAGAUUGCGCCUCCCUAUAGCAAAGACGGAAUGCCGCCUAUGCCGCCUCCACUUAAGCGGGCGAGGCAUGGCCCACCCGUCAGUGGCCCCUGCCCACUGGCUGGCCGACAGGCGGGGCCCAGCUGCAGGUUCGUCCGCUACCUCCCGCGCGGGCGCGACGGAAGACAGAUCAAGCGCUCGACGGCGGCCGGCAACGCUACCGACCACCGUUUUUGGAGGUCCGGCCACCGGCGUGCUCAGCAGAGAGAGACGAACCAGGGAGGCCCCACGGGUGCCUGCGUCACCGGAGGGGAGCAAGGCUUUGCCCGCGGUGGAAGGUGGCGUCGGGUGAGAGGGGUUCUGGGUGUUGCGGGGCGCUAGAGGAGUAGUUAAAGGGCGGAGGAGCCUCACCGGCGUGCGGUGGCUCCGUUGGUGUCCAAAGGAGGAGAGGGGAGGCUUUGGUUUGCGGGAAUUUGGGCGGAGACCGACGGCGGCACUCUAGCCAUGGAGGGAGCAGGAGGGCACGAGAGGAGGUGCAGGUUGGUUCAGGGGGUGCACGGGAGAGAGAGAGAGAGCAAAGGAGCUCCAGAGGGGGGUCAGGGGCGACCUUAUAUGGCGAGGUUGUGGCUCACCGUGGACGUGGCCUACGGGCACCCGCGGAAAUGGCCGCAGUCGCCACGGGAGGAGGCUCGGAGCAGUCUACGGCGUUCGUGGGAGUCGAGUAGGGCGCCAGGAAGGGAGAGAGGGAGCGGGGCGAGCUCCGGGUGGAGCCACGAGAUCGCACACGCAUUGGCGGGCUCGGGCGGCUCUGGGCACGCGCGGCAUGGGCAAGAUAGAGGGGAAAAGGAGGGGGCCAGCACGGUGGCGUGUUGCGGACAUCGAGGCACAUCAACUGGCGCGAGGGGGAGGCUCGAGGUGGUCAGGGGACGCGGCGUCAACGGUCGGGAGCAUGCUGACGUGCUCCAGAGCGUGCAAAUGGCCGGCAUCCGUGGCUUUUCCGCACGCACUCACGUGUCCACUAGUGUCUAGUGGUUGCACAGGGGAGUAAGCAAUGUGGGAAAAGGCAUUGGAUGCCCUGGGGCUUGCCAGGUGUGAGAGAGAGGUGAGAAAAUAGGAGGAAAGCUGCUGUCCAGAGGGGGAAAAGGGGCUUUUCACCCCCUUCAUCAUGGCUUCUCGGGCAGGGAAAGAUGCUGGGGUUGGAGGAGGACCAGAUGGGGAUGUGGGAAAAACUUGAGCUCAUGGAGAUUAGUGGAAAUGGCCAAAACAUGCAUUUUAAAUUUCUGCCAGAAGGUGUUUGAUGGUGGUUUGGGCAAGAAGAUGAACUCCUCUUGUCAUGAUGCUUGACAGGGUCAAAUGGUAUGAGAAAAUAAGAGGUUCCACCAAUAUUGAGUCCAUUUGGGCAAAGUUGCCAAUGCAACUUUUGUAAACCCUAGAAAUCAACAGAAAUGGACUUCCCAAGAUUUAGUCAUGCAAAUCUAUUCUCCUUGAUGCACCAAUUGGUGUAGUGUCAUCAUUUGAGGUUAUGAACAUGUCCAAAAAAGGUGAGAUCAAAAGGAGAAAGUUUCCAAUGUAUAGUUGUUCAAAUUUGGUUCUGGACAAGAAGGGUUUUGGGGCACUUUUGAUCAAGUUAACUUGUUCUCCAACUUGUGCUACUUGGUCUAGAUGAUUUAUUAGACUAUUUUAGCAUGUGGACCAAUCUUGAGAGUAUUUGGGCAAGUUUUCUAAUGCAAAGUUGUUCAAACUUGGAAAAGGGCAGAAAUGGUUUUGAGAGGGUUUCAUGGGGUUAUACUAUUCUCCAUGACAUGAGGCUUGGCCAGAUCAUCAAAUGUGUCAUAUGUGAAAUGCUAGAAGUUUCUUGGAAUUUUUAGAGAAUAGUUUCUUUGUAAAUAUUUCAAAAGCUUGGAAUAUCCAGGAAGGGUUUUUGAGGGAUUUAACCAAUAUUUUGAAUAUGACCAUGUGUUGAAACUCAUAUUGUCACGCCCAAUAUGCGAUCCUAUCCAAAAGGAACUCGAAGGUCCCACCAAGGAUAGACCCGCAUAUUGAAACGCUAUUGCAAGGUGGAUAUCAUUACAUCAACAUUACAUAAUAGAUGGGGAUAAAUACAAGAGGCAUACAAUGCCACACGAAUACAACAUCACAAUACAUAAGAGCAUCAUCCGACUACGGAUGAAACACAAACAGAAACUCAAACGACAUCCACCCUGCUAGCCUAGGCUGCCGACCUGGAACCUAUCCCCUGAUCGAAGAAGAAGCAGAAGAAGAACUCAACGCAAAGCAAGCAUCGCUCUCGCGUCAUGAUCAUCGCAAAACCUGUACCUGCAACUGUUGUUGUAGUAAUCUGUGAGCCACGAGGACUCAGCAAUCCCAUUACCAUGGGUAUCAAGACUAGCAAAGCUUAAAGGGAACGGAAGGGGUAAAGUGGUGAGGCUGCAGCAGCGACUAAGCAUAUAUGGUGGCUAACAUACGCAAAUAAGAGCGAGAAGAGAGCAAAAGGAACGGUCGUGAAGCUAGCAAUGAUCAAGAAGUGAUCGUGAACUCCUACUUACGUCAAACAUAACACAGAAACCGUGUUCACUUCCCGGACUCCGCCGAAAAGAGACCAUCACGGCUACACACGCGGUUGAUGCAUUUUAAUUCGGAUCUGGUGUCAAGUUAUCUACAACCGGACAUUAACAAAUUCCCAUCUGCCUAUAACCGCAGGCACGGCUUUCGAAAGAUUAUACCCUGCAGGGGUGUCCCAACUUAGCCCAUGAUAAGCUCUUGCGAUCAACGAAGGAUAUACCUUCUCCCAGGAAGACCCGAUCAGACUCGGAAUCCCGGUUUACAAGACAUUUCGACAAUGGUAAAACAAGACCAGCAAAGCCGCCCGAUGCGCCGACAAAUCCCGAUAGGAGCUGCACAUAUCUCGUUCUCAGGGCAACACCGGAUGAGACAUCCUACGAGUAAAACUAGACCUCGAGUUUCCCCGAGGGGGCCCCGCAGUCUACUCGGUUCGGACCAACACUUAGACAAGCACUGGCCCGGGGGGGGCUAAAAUAAAGAUGACCCUUGGGUUGGCCGAUCCAAGGGAAAGGGUAGGUGGUAGUGAGGCAAAUGGUAAAACCAAGGUUGGGCCUUGCUGGAGGAGUUUUAUUCAAAGCGAACUGUCAAAGGGGUCCCAUAAAUCACCCGACCACGUAAGGAACGCAAAAUCCAGGAACAUAACACCGGUAUGACGGAAACUAGGGGCGGUAAGAGUGGAACAAAACACCAGGCAAAAGGCCGAGUCUUCCACCUUUUACCAAGUAUAUAGAUGCAUUAAUAAUAUAAGAGAUAUUGUGAUAUCCCAACCAAAAUCCUGUCCACCAUGGAGCAAUCUUCAACUUCACCUGCAACUAACAACGCUAUAAGAGGGGCUGAGCAAAAGCGGUAACAUAGCCAAACAAGGGUUUGCAUAGAAAAGGUGUCAAGGUUACAGGUUCAUGGCAAUUUGGGAGGCUUGAUAAACAGGUGAUAGGUAGCGCAGCAUAGCGAUAGAACGAAGCAACUAGCAUAGCAAUGAUAGUAGUGAGAUCCAGGGUAGCGGUCAGCUUGCCUGAAAUCCCACUAGGAAGAAGAACGAGUCCAUGAAGAAGACGAACGGAUGAAGCCAAACCAAGCAUAGACAAACGAAUCCUCACGAUUGCAACGAAACAAGAACUAUCGAGAAGAAGCACACAACACGGUAAACAAACCACACAUAUGCAAGGCAUGAUGCACAACAAGCAUGAUGCAUGACAAGGCUACAUGAAGCUACUCAUGGCAAGAGAUGAUGCAAACAAGAGCAACACAUCAAAGAAAGUUUAAAUGAGGCCGGGAACAACAUAUAACAAUUCGGUAAAUCCUCAUAUGCAAAUUUCGAAAUUGGUCCAUAUCUGAAUAAACCUUAUGUUCAAGUUGUUAAACAGCAAAUUAAGAUGCACAAGGAGGAUCUACACGAAAUUCUAGUCAAGUUGCAUAUAAAGUUCAUUUAGUUCGGAGCUACGGCCUAGAAAAUAUGAGCAAAACAAGAUAAACAUGGCAUUGAUGCAAAAUGCAUACAAACAUCAAGCAAACACCUCAAAACAAGGAUGCAACAUGAUAAUAUGAAGCUACUUGCAAUUCUAAGCAUGUUUCAUAUAAAGCACACUCAAAACAGGGCAACGGUUCAACACACACACUCUAUACAAGUUAUAGCAACAAUCUGUCCAAAACAGCAACUAGGCAUAUUGCAAGCAUCAAAACAACAUGCUACAGGACCUCAACAAGAAAACAAAAGACAUGGGCAUGAUGUACAGGUAAAGCAUAACAAAACAUGAACACUGAGCUAUCUCCAGAAAUCACUAGAACAUGGUCAAACACACAUGGUAAGAUUGCAAGUUAUAACAAUUUCAGACUUUGCAGAAAAUAACAUCAGGUUGCAAUGUUUAGAGCUAUCAAACAACAUGUUACAGGAACUUAUCAUGGCAAACAAAUGCAUGGCAUGAAUCUACUAAACCCAUAUAUCAGAAGUCCCUUAUUGACCAUGAGCCAAAAAGGAUCAGAAAAUAUGAUGGCACCCAUGUAAACAUGGCAAGUUAUAUUACAGAUUCAAACAUGGCAGAAACAGAAUUGUGAAGGCAUGUUGGUGAGCUUGAACCACUCACCACAGAGCAAUACAUGGCAUGGCAAGGCAACCAAUAGUAAGAAGACAUGUUUAUGAAGCUAACCAAGGCAAGAAAAAGUUCAUAGCAUGCAAGGAUCAACUACAACAACCUUGGCAAAAUUGAAUAACAUGCAAACAAUCUGCCAGGAAACAUUUGAAGCAAAAGUAGAGCACAAAAAUGACAUGCUAGACUACUCCCUAAUUGCGACCAAGGGCAGGGAUGGAUAGAUGCCCGAGGGAGGUAACGAGAUGGGUAACCACUUGAAGACGAAGUGGUGUACCGAGGCAAGCGUGAGUGUUGUUUUCAAAAAUGGAUUGGUUUAAGUUGCGACCGUUAUUCCAACCUUACAUGCGCAACCACUCUACCCUUGUAUGGGAAAGGGCAUUAUUGAUUACCUAGGUCGAUACUAGCUUGGAGCCCGCAUUACUAGUGACGGGGGAGAGUUGGUGCUCUCUCUCGGGACGGGGUCGUGCCAGGUAGGGCGGCCAAGAACAUUUUUAUGGGGCACCGGACACACCGUUGGUACCCCGUGCUUGUGAUGUGAGAUGAUUAUGGAGCAUGGCUCCACGAAAAUGUUAUGUGAUAAUGUUGGGCACGGGGGUUACUACCAAUCGAGUGGACUCCAUGUUAGUGUCGUCUAGGGAAAGGUAGUGAUCGGGUGCUUACCCCGGGUACUUGAGGUAUCGCGGGUCGUGGAUGACACGGAAGUUCCCCGGAUCUUGUGGGUAAAGUGUGCAACCUCUGCAGAGUGUAAAACUAUUCGAAUAGCCGUGUCCACGGUCAAGGACAGUUGGGUAAUCGCUCUUGGGCUACGUCCAUAUGUUUCUGAAAAACAACACAGUUUGGUGAUAUUGAUGAUGUGACUCGCGAGGAAGUCACGAUGAGCUUGAGCAUGAGUUGUUCAUAACUCUUUCUCGAUGUUGAUGUAUGUAACCUCCUGAUACUUGUUGCAGACGCACUCAUGUCGUUGAUAAAUGUUGAUCAUACUUACAUGAGAAAAACUGGCUUUCCGCAAAAAUGCCAAUUAAGCAGUAGAGCUUUGCAUAAUUCUUUUGUUGUCACUCUUGGGUUGCUUGCGAGUACAUUCAAACGUACUCACUGGCUUGUCCCUGGCUAUUUACUUGGCCAGGCUUGAAAGAGCAGGUAUACGAAGAAGCGAUUUUGGUGGCGAUCAUGCGAGCUAGGACGCUUCCCAGUCAGAAUGCCUGUAGGGUUAAGGCAGAUGGCAUGGGUCCAAGUUAUCGAUGAAGAUUUCCGCUGCAAUGUUAUAUUCAAGACUUGACCAUAAUGGUCAUAAUUUAUGUAAGACGGUAUGUAUGGAUGUAAGACUCUUGUUAUUCAGCUUCUGUGUGUUCAGUGAGCAUUGAUCUCUAGGAUCACUGUACACAUGCAUUAGGUGAUCACGACUUAUGAGUCAGGGUCCCCACAACAGGUACCUACAAACACAUGGGAGGACUUUCUCUUGUUCUCCUACACAUAAGACACCCCAUCUCCACAAAACAGCCACCAUACCUACCUACAUGGCAUUUUCAUAGCCAUUCUGAUCAUAUCGCCAUGCACUAAGAUCAUUUUAAUUACAUGAAUAAAGAGGUUUUCAUUUUCCUUGCAUGAUAAUAGUAUGGCGAGCUCGACAUUUUGAUGACUUGCCCGUUUUUUGAUGUCUAUGCUAUGCCGAAUCAUUGCACAUACUGGUACACUGCCAGAGGCAUUCAUCAUAUAGAGUUUCUCUCAUGUUUUCAAUUUUGAGUUAUGAUUACAUUCAUUUGAAGUGAGUCAUUGUAAAGUGUAAUGUUCAUCCUUGUAAGGUUUUGCUCCGAAAAAAAGGAAGAGAGACCAAAUAAAAGAUGCACCACGAAGGUGCCACAAAAAAAGGAGAAAGACAAAAAAAGUGAGGAGAGGAGCAACACCAUUAUCCUUUUUAGUAUACACGUGUGCUUCAAAGUAGCACCACUUCAUGCAUUCUCAAGUAUAAAGUUUCAUGAGCUUCAUGUUUCAUACUAGUGGGGAACCUAUAUUAAAAGAACUUGGCUUGUAUAUUGCGAUGAUGAGCAUCCUCAAAAGCUCGAGGUCUUCAUGAGCAAGCAAGUUGGAUGCACCCCACUUAGUCCAUAGGAGAGAUUUCACAUAUUCAUAGCUUUAUGUGUGUCCUAGUUAUAUGGCGAUCACUACUCCUUUUGUUAACAUCGAUAAUAGGUCAUUCUCCAUUGCCUAACGGUCAGCUGCGUUGAUGCAAGGAUUUCUUUAUCUUUGACUUCGCAAAACCCCAACCAUUUUCUAUCUUUCCCUUAAGUGUGAGGCAAAGGCUUGUGCUCAGUGCUGCAUAGGUAGUUGAGCGGUUGAAUAACACAGAUAGACGAUCUUGCUAUUGUACCUGGUAUGCCUCGAGUUGGUGUUUUUGAAGCUAUCGCUGAUGCUUGAUCUCUUUUAUGUUUGAUAGUUAUUGUCAUGUUCCUAACAUAAUAUUGACCCCCUCUCUGAACCUUUCACAAUGGGAAUUUGGGCCCCACAAAAAUAUUUUCCUCUUUGUCAACCUCCAUGGCAAUGGAACUAAGGGGAUAGCUUGUAUUACACCCUUACUAGUUAACUUUUGCAUGCUUGCACGAUGAACAUGGAUAUCUCUUUUGGGGUUUGGUUCAAUGUAACCUUUAGAGUUGGUAACAGUGAGCUUUUGGCAGUCACCUUCUGACUUGAGGACAAGCAAGGUUUAAGUGUGAGGAGGUUGAUGUCUCUAUAUUUUAUGCAGUUUAGAGCUCAUUUGUUGCAUGUUCCCUUCAUAUAUUAUGUCCACUGAACCAAAUAGUUGUCAAUUAUGCAUGUUUACCGGGGUUUUGCACUUACCCUUGUGAGCAUUCAAUAUUUAGUAUUUUAGUUGGUUUUUAUUAGUUUUCUUUGUUUUCUUGUGUCUAUUGGUGUAUUGGAGCAACUUAAGACUAAGCACAAUGAAAGGAGCAAGGAUGGGUUCAAUACGGAGUCAGCCAUGGGUCAGACUUGGCCAUUCCGAAUAUCGGAAAAAUUCAUUUUCCCAAAGUACUUCCAAUCAAUAUCAAAGACCAAAAUUGGAUCGGCGUCGAUCAUACGAAUCCAACUAUCCCAAGAACGCCAAAUUCCGAGUUCGUGUGAUGAUUUGACGGCCCUUUUACCAGAGGAGUGCAGACGAGAAGACGACGUUCUAAACGACCACGCAUGUCAUUUUGGCGGUCGUUUGACACGUAGAUAGCUCCAAAAGUUGCCCUUCCAUAUGGGAUUCUUCACUAGUUUCAUCCCCGUUCGAGCCCACGGGAUCCUUGGCUCGUAAAGAAGAGGCUGGGAGAGGAUUUGGCUCAUUUUGAGCCCUUAGAUAAAGCCCAUCAAGAGAGGAGGCUAGGGAGGCUCUCUAUAUGUGUCUCCCUCAACCCUAGCCACCACACACCUCACGCCAUUCAUCUCCAACACAUCCAUCUCCAUCUCCAUCUCCAUUGAUGCUCCAAGACCACCUCCAUAGAGAAGAGAAGGGCCAAGCCAAGAGAAAAAAGAAGGGGUGCCUCCACCACUCGCAUCGGCCUUCGGGCCAGUGCGGUCAUCACCACCGCUGUGCCAUCGUUACCACCACCGGCGUUGUCGUGCCCCUCUCCUCCACCGGCUCCACGACGACUUGUAACUUUACCUCUCCAUUUAUGAUGUUUGCGUAGCUGUAUUAGUUCUUGAGGAAUUGGAUGAACCCUUGCAUGAUUAGUACUUUGUUGAGUAAAGCGAUCUAAUAUUAUCACUACACCACAACACUUCAUCCCUAACAGCCAGGUUGGUCGGGAAUACAAGUUUCUCUAACAGAUAGUCAGUCGGGAAAGACUAUUACCGACCAACAACGUCUGUUGGGAAAAGUCUAGACGGGAAAGCCCUUUCCCGACCGACUGUUUGUCGGCUAUAAGAUAUCUCUCCCGACCAACAAUAUGUUGGGCCUGCCAUGGGCCUUUCCCAACCAACAGUUUGUUGGGGCUGCCAUGGGCCUUUCCCGACCGACUAUCAGACAGGGUAAUCUUUCCCGACUAACAAUCCGUUAGUGUAGCCAAGGGUUUUCCUGACCGACUAUCUGACAGGGUCUUGUUUCCCGACCAACAUUCUGUCGAGCCAAGCAUUAGCCUUUCCCGACCGGCUGUGUGACAUGGUUUUUUUUACCAACCAACAACCGUUAGCCUUCCCACAGCUGGAUUUCACGUUACUGGAUUUCACGUUACCCACAGAAUGUCAAUGAAGUUACAUAAUCAUACAUAACAGUAACAUGCAUCAUCCAACAAUAUUAAACCAGAACCAAACAAUAGUCACACACAUUCAUUAAUUUUCACAUAUAAAUAGUUCAAUAGUUAUGAACGAAUGGCCAGCCAAGUUUCCUAUAAAUAAACUAAUGUAACUAAUUAAAUAGAGGAAACAUGAUAGUUCACUGUCUGAGAGCAAAAGUUUGUCGCUUUGUUUUCUGCAAUACAUCAUCUGCCUUGGCUCCUUGUAGUGGGCAACUACAUACCCAUCCUCACAGCCUUCCAGCAAGAUCGUUGCAUCGUUCUCGCACUUGACAUCAAAGCCUUCAUCCUUCAUCUCAUUGGAGAUCAUUCUCUAGCUUGAACAUCUGCAAGUCAAAAUCCCCGAUAAAUAUUCCACACAACGUUAUAUUUUCUCUAAGCUACCUUCAAUAUCAUUUCAUACCAAAGCAACUCAAGAGAAUUCAUUACCACUGGCAGGAAAAGGGGUACCCUUCUAGAAAUUUUAAAAGCGCGCGUACCUUUAGCCAUUCCUACAUGAAUGAAAGAAGAAAUCAGAUGAUUAAGAAAAGUUAGCAGCUGAAUAAGAACAGGUAGCAUCGAAAGCAUUUGCUUAGCAUCUGCAACAUGAUAAAGGAUAUUUCAAUUAGCAUCAUGAGGCUUGCAGAGUAUAGAAACCAACUACCAUUAGCAUCAUGAGGCUUAGUAAAAAAAAUGUGAAGCUGAAGUCGUUUCCAUGUUCAUUUGCAUCGACGUACACCCAGAAUUCAGCAGACAGCAGCAUAGCAAGGUUGACAAGCAGCAAACCAGCAAGAUCGAACAUAGUUUCACAUCAUUUCAUUUUUCAACUAGAUGAUGCACACUACAAAGCCAGAACCUAGAACUGCACAUGGAUUACAAAAGUUGUUGUUAUUUAGUGCACUGGUUGUUAUAGUGGAGCUUCAGUACAAUAAAUAUCGAAAUUACAUAGUUAUAGAAGUGUAUUAAUCUGCCAUGCAUAAUAAUCUCCCCGAUGCUCUUUUUCAACGCCGAUGUUGCUCUGCUGCUGUUCUUAUUUAAUCUCCCCCUAGGCGCUCAACAGGAGAAGCACCGGCCAAGGGCCAAUGAUGCAUAGACAGGGGAACAUGGCAGAAUACCAUGCCACUCGAUGAGAACAAAAUAAAGUCAAGGAAGCUGCUAUACAUUGGGUGAUACAGCAUAGAAUCAAUUGUGUGACAUUUUCAUCGACCUGUGCAUACACACAGGGUACCUUUUUUGUGUUUGAGAUUAUUAGUUGGGAAUAACUAUGACGAUCUUAAAUCAUUAGACCAUAGUUUACAUCACAUACAGUUUUUGCUUAUGCCGCAUAUGCUAUUGUUCUAUAAAUCUAGGAAAAACGAAAAUAUGCACACAGGAUCUGUACACAUAAACUGCGUUGAGUAUAAACUGCGUUGGGUAUUUCACUUCAUAGGAUCUGUACACCACUGAUCAUGUUCUUACAGUAUGCACAUAUACAUCUUAAUUUCUCUAAUCACAUAGUAAUAAACUUACAGUGAAAGGGAUACCAAACAGAGUUUUUGGAGAAAAUAGAGAUGAAAUUCACAAUUAGUACUUUUGAUAACAUUAGAGAGAGAGAGAGAGAGAGAGAGAGAGAGUAGUUUAGUUUUUAUUUUGUCGCAAAGAUGCAUGUGCGAGUGUACUUAUCUAGGAAAUUAAUUAACAAAAAGACAUAGUUCUUUUGAUAACCUUCUAUGCCACGCAUUAAUCCUUGGGGUGCUCGCUCUUUGUCNNNNNNNNNNUUUCAUCGACCUGUGCAUACACACAGGGUACCUUUUUUGUGUUUGAGAUUAUUAGUUGGGAAUAACUAUGACGAUCUUAAAUCAUUAGACCAUAGUUUACAUCACAUACAGUUUUUGCUUAUGCCGCAUAUGCUAUUGUUCUAUAAAUCUAGGAAAAACGAAAAUAUGCACACAGGAUCUGUACACAUAAACUGCGUUGAGUAUAAACUGCGUUGGGUAUUUCACUUCAUAGGAUCUGUACACCACUGAUCAUGUUCUUACAGUAUGCACAUAUACAUCUUAAUUUCUCUAAUCACAUAGUAAUAAACUUACAGUGAAAGGGAUACCAAACAGAGUUUUUGGAGAAAAUAGAGAUGAAAUUCACAAUUAGUACUUUUGAUAACAUUAGAGAGAGAGAGAGAGAGAGAGAGAGAGAGAGUAGUUUAGUUUUUAUUUUGUCGCAAAGAUGCAUGUGCGAGUGUACUUAUCUAGGAAAUUAAUUAACAAAAAGACAUAGUUCUUUUGAUAACCUUCUAUGCCACGCAUUAAUCCUUGGGGUGCUCGCUCUUUGUCUCGAUGGCAGCCUUCUUCACAGCCUCAAUAUAUUUUUCCAUUAUUCAUAAAUUAAGCUAGCACUAUCUGCUCAUUGGAACACAUAUACUCAUCAUGGUGGUCUCUUGUGAUACAGAAAAAAAAUUGUGGGGAUAUUGCUCAGAUUCAGAAGGCAUUGUAUAUAUUUUUUGACUUAUUUUUAUUCAUCACACUUUCUUACAUGGAAACAAUAUAUUUGCGCAUAGUAUAAGUUAUAUGUACAAAGCACAGUGCAAAGGUUAAAAUAGCAUAAGACUAUUAUAAUCAAUAUGCAUGAUUAAAGGAAAAGCGAACCUUGCCUGACCAAAUACGGGUCAAAUUUGGAAAUUGUUGCCUGAGCAACAGGAGUUUCAUGACCAGUCCAUGCAUACAGAAGUACGAACACGACCCCUUGGCUCCUUCAUUCCACAUACAUGUGCAAACAGAUCACCUUCUUGAAUGCUUUUUCCUUCCAUUCAGUGCGCUUUUCAGCUUUCCUAUGAGAUAUUUCUGCAAAAUGUAUUAUAUUUACUUGCUAUGUAAAUUUUACUUGUACAAUUUUUGAGUAAUACAGAGAAAGCAUGGCAAAAGUGACUUACAAUUGUUGCUUCUGCCUGCGGCACAUAACUCCCUUUCUUAUCCCCUUUCUUGCAUGUAUUUGUCUCGAUAUAAACUUGAUCUCUUCGAGGCUGAUGGACAAGUUUGACAGCCUAUAAUCAUUUAUUUAUUUUACAUGCAUUAGUCACUGAAACACAGUGGCAUAUCACUUUUAAUUGGGGUAAUUAUUUGUCAUUUUCUUUAGUAACACGGGCAUGACUCUUGCUGCUGGAUGUAUGAGACACUUGUGUGAUUCUUUUUGGCGAUAGCACUGCGAGACUACAAGAAAAAAAGGAAAGGAGAUUUAUUAUGACUAGACAUGUUGGCAACAACACUGCCUACUGUUUUGAUAUCAUAUAUAUUGUUUGACCAAUAAUUGCAACUAAUGAUUACAUGCAUAUUUGUUUAUUUAGGUCCAGAACAGAGUAUGUUACAAGGAAUCAGCAUUUGCUACAUAUAUUUAGGUCCAGAACAGAGUGUGGAUGCAUAUACUACAGUUUUCUAGUCAGCGGGAUGACUUACUUCAAAUACCGAAGAUCUCCAGUAAGUAAUAAGGUUCUUCCAGUCAGCUUCACUAAUUCUACUGUCACAUCUUUUCAUAAGUUGUGCAUCAAUCAGCGCGGCAUCAAACUUGUACCUCUUACCGCUUUCAGAUGUUCCUCCAUGACCCCCACCACCUUUAGCUUUUCCGCUUCCACUUGCGCUUUCCAUUUUUCCUCCUGCUACUUCUCCUUGACGACUCAAUGUUACCAGCAGUUAUACACUAUGCUACCUGCAGAAACCAAGUCAGCGAAAACAGGGGGCAAAAGCCAUGUCAUCUCAUGUAAAAAGAAAGUUUUUACAUUUGAACAAUCCUCUUAUCAAGCACAAAGAGACACUAAACACGGUGGCAGACUAAACACAUCAUGGCAGACUAAGCACAAAACAGGAAACAUAUCCGGGGAACCUUUUUGGAAGAGCAAAAAUUAACUUAUCUUGGGCAGAAGCAUAACAAGAGUAACACCGUAAACAUGACUCUUAGUGAAAGGUGAACUAAAUGACCAAUGGAAAAAAAAGAUUAGUUCAUAUCGGUACCACAAAAUUUGCACUGGAAAUAAACAAAAUUUGCACACAACAGCUCAACUUCUAAAAUUAGUUCAUAUCGCUGCCAUAAAGCUUCUCACAAUCAGACUAGCUGGCAGCAGUACACAGCAAAUCGGAGAACCAGAGAAUAAUAAAGCAUGAGGUGC
rnacentral:lncRNA from 1 species